rnacentral:lncRNA from 1 species
AUCAAGUUGUCCCAUACAAUCAAUCUGACCAUUAACCUUAGUCUUGUCUCGAUCUCAUCCUUCAGCCCACUUAAGAAACUGGAAAUGAAAUACUCUUCUAUCAAAGUAGAGUUGUAUUGCAGCAUGAAGGCUUGAAGUUCUUCAAACCUUUCUUGGUAGUCCUCAAUUGUUCCCUUCUGUGCUUCUUUAUUGAAUUCUUCCACCACAUCUAGACGGGUUCUAUCACAAAAUCUCGAACAGAGAUCAUUAGUAAAUUCUUCCCACGUGAUUCUUUCUUUCUGCAUGAUGUACCCACUAUACCAAGUUUCUACUUUACCCACUAAAAACCUGGAAGCUAUUUCCACCUUUUGAUUUUCUCCUACAUGGAAUAAUGAAAAAGUACUUCCGACACUACUGCACCCAUCCUGUUGGAUUUUGGCCAUCAAAGUUCUGAAGUUCUAUUUUUGGUUUGGGGUUAAACAAACCCAAAUUCCCUUGUGUCAUUGUACGACUGUCCCUGUCCACGACUGGUGAUUCUUCUAGCAUCUCCUUACUGCUGGACCCAACUAUAUGUAUUCCCAUUUUGGGUAGGUGAUGGUUAGGAGAAGGGUGUUCUUUUGAAUGGGAUGUGAUGCUAGGACCCUAGGUUCUCCAAGCUGGUAGGUGAAUUUCUCAUGAAUAUCAAUGACCAUUAUGUGCAUGGGCUUUUUCCCAUCAGCUUUCGAUAAGGUCUUUUGAGGUAUCUGGGUGUAGUUGCAGUAUUAGGGGGUAGUGGCCUUUGUCCCUUGGAUAGCAUAUCCAGGAUUCUGGGAAUGUAUCCUUGGGUUUCUGUGAACUUAGUUUCAGUACUUUUUUGCUGUUCUUCAAAUUUUGCAUCACUACUUUCUCUUUGUUUCUCCCACAAUUUUGGAAUUUUGUUAUCAUCUUGUAGGAUAUCGAGUUGCCCCUGGAGCUGUUGCAUCCUGGCACCAUCAAACCCAACCAUGACAAUGGUUUUAUUGUGUUUUCCCAGCUCGAAUUAGUGAAUCUUUGGAAGCUCUAAUACCAAUUUGUAAUUGAAAUUUAAGAGAAUUUAGGGAUUGAGAAUAGACGAAAGGGAUUUAAGAAGGAAAUAGUUGUGUAAUUCAUUCAUGAGCAAAUUAGUUGUUACAGACCCUAUAUAGGCCAUUCUGUUAUAACAACCGUACUAUUAUUUAUCUAGCUGUUGCUGCUUGAUUCAGUUGAUUCUGUUCUAACUGUGCUAACGUUAAGUUUGGUGUUUGGGUUUUCCGGGCCUUUUACUUCACAAGUCCACUUGCCUACUUAUCCUGACGUUCUAGCCCAUUCUGAAUAGUUGUGUUUGGCCCAACAUCAGGCCCAUCAUCCUUUAGUCCAUGGGCUUUUCCAAGUGGUCCUUUCAGAUUCCUAAUAUCCCCAAUUCCCCUUCAGUUGGAGUACCCACCCUUUUUUCUUAACGAAGCGGACCACUCUCCAUCGGGAUUAUAGAGCCUCCGAUUUGAGUGCUUUCCUAGUGCUCUGAGCUGGUCUAACGGUCGGUUUAGAUGGAUGGUGGGGUGUGGUACAGUGUAUUUAGUUUAUUUUUUUGUCUCAUAUUACAGUAUUACUAUAAUAUCUAAUCUCACCAUCAUUACUGUUUUUAUACUAACUGUAUAUAAAUGUACUCUCCAUCUAAACUCUCCCUAAUAUGUUUGAAGCGGCUUAAAGGCUGUUGUGGUUGAUGGUGUCAGUCGCCAGUUUCUAAUGGGUUUGUUUUCUUCCUUGCCGGCUCUAGAUGAUAUUGGUCUGUGACCAAUUCUUUCAAGAUUGCUCGGUGGUUUCUUCUACCGGAGAAUAGUUUUCUAAUAAAAAAAAAUCUACUGAUAUUUUAACUUAAAAAGAAAUUCAUUUACAAAGACAAAAUUCUGAAGUCAUCAAGUAUGUUACAUGGACGUAAAGAAACAAGGCUAUAACAAUCUCAAAAAGAACUCAUUGUCAUCAAAUAACUCUUCUUCACUUUGAUCAUCUCCCUUACAGCUUCACUAAAAGGCUUUUCAUCUCCCACCAAUGGAUCAUCACUGUUGUUUUCAAUCAUCCCAUCGACCACAGGUCUGAUAAGAACAAGUGUUGCCCGUUUCAUCACAUACCCUGAAUCCGGUAAAUCAAGCAUAGGCAAGUACCACAGUUUCAUGUUCACUUCUGGAAUUGGACUUCUCUCCAUUGAUGAUGAUGAUGCUUCUUGUUUUGUGUCAAUGGAGUUCCUCAUCUCAACAAGCUCUUCUUUUCCCAUACUAAACAUCCCUUGCUUGUUUGCAUCAGAAAUCACCACUCUUUCAAGCAUUGGAAUGUUUGGAUUGUCAGCUAAGAUUUGCUUCAACAAAUAUUGCCUCGUUGAUGCAGCAAUCAAGCAAGAAAUGGUCCAUAUUACUCUUAAUUUCAGCUCGUCAUCGUUUAACACGGUUUCCUCCAUGAAUACCCGCUCUUCCUUCCGUUGUGAGAAAAUAGCCGAUGAUGAAAACGUAUUGCAUUUUUGAAAAGAUGUAGCCCCAACGAUAAUGCAAGUCCUCAAGUUGCUUCCAAAAUCUGCUUUCCAUUGAAGGAAAGUAGCUCCAUUACUUGAUCCCAACUCACCAGCUCCAUGUAAUGGAAGCUCUAAAUGCAACGAUUUCAUUUCCUUGAAAAUUCUCAAAACCCCAUUUGAGUGACAACAAGAGAUAUCAAAUGACAUUGUCGUUGACUUGGGGGAAGCCAUAAGGCGAUGGAAACAUCUGACUGGUUUGAGGAACAAGUUGUGAAAAACCUGUCUCAAAGUAUUGUUUAUGUACGAAGCAGCAGUAUUGCUUGGCUUUGGGAGAGGUGGGAUUGAGAUGAAAAUGGUGUCGGUGAAAGGAACAAGGGAACGGAAACGCUUUGAGACUGAAAGACAAUUGGUAAGAGAUUUGAGAUCAUGCAAUUUGUUGAAGAUGAGAAGAAGAAGAGCAUCUGGAAGACAAUCAAAGUAAGCUAAAUCAUCAUCUUCUUCCUGGGUUUUGUAACACAUUUUGGUGUUGCGGGAACGAAAUGAAGCUCUGGGUAUCCUGUAAAGAAGAGCAUGGGAGGAUGUUUUAUAGGAUUUUGGUGAUUUUCCUUCUAAAGAAUUCAAAGUGUACGCGUUUUGACCAUGGAUUUGCACACGCUUGAAAAGCUAAGGUUUUAUUUUAUUGAUUUAUUCUAUGAAAGGCCGACCUUGUCAUUUGUUUAAGCUUUAAGCAACAUUGAUUGUGUUUAAUGGCCUAAAGGGUCAGUGUGGGGGAGCUGUUCAAAGUUGACAAUCAUAAGAGGCCCAGUGAUGGCGUGGAAACCUUAUCUAUCCCUCAUUUUGUUUUCUUAUCAUUACAUGCCCAACAUUAACUUUUCUCUAUGAACAAAUUUUAUAAUAAGUUAUAUUUUUCGAGUGUUUUAAAUUAUAUAUCUUUUAAUUUGGACUAAAAUGACAAAAUGUAUAAAUAUUGAGGGUUAAAUUUAUUAAAUUUUUUAGAACUAGGACUAACUUGAUAGAAUGUGUAAAGUGUUAAGGGCUAAAUUUAGCAUUAUAUCAAUCAAAAGACUGCCACAUCAGCAUUCUAUUCGGUGACUAAAAAUAACAAUUAAUCUAAUGGAAGUGACUAAAUUAACAAAAAAAAAUUCGGAGACUGAAAUAGGAACGCAUUAAAACUUAGGUGACUGUUUGAGUAGUUUACCCUUUAAAUUUUUUAGAAUUAUUAUUAAGAACUUUUUAAAAGUAUCAAAUUGAUAUUUUAGUUAUAAUUUAGGGGCUAAAUUCGUUAUUAACCCUUUAAAUUAGCAUGUCACGUCAUCCUCUUACCAGAAGGUAACGGAUGAAUGACCAAAAUGUAACACUUCGAUAACUUUAGUGACAACUAUGUAACUUUUAAAAGUUGAGCGACUAAAAUGUAAUAUUAAUAAAAAAUUAGAGACAAUAGAUGUAGUUUCCCGUAAAUAAAACAAAAAAACAAUAACUUUAUUUACACAUAACUAAUUAUAAAUAAAUACCAAGGAGAGUUAUUAAUAGUUAUGUUUAAUGUUUAAUUAUGUUUAUUAUUCACACAUUGUUCAUAUUUUUAUUAAAUUUAAUGAUUAAUUAAUCAGGUGUGACACCUAUAAAUCAAUGAUAUAUCAAAUAUUUUUUCCAUAAUAAUAAUAAUAAUUGAUGAAUGUUGAAACGUGUUUUUAUCAAAAUAAUAAAAAAAUGCGAAGCUCAUGAACGUACGGGAAGUAAAUUUCAAAGAGAGAUCUAGAAAUUUCAAUACCAUUCUUUUAUUAACAUUUAAUAAAUAACUAAACAAUUUUUAACAUUUUAGGCAAACUGUUCAUAUAGUCCUUUUAAGUUUUAAAGUGCUUCUAUUUUAGUCACUGAAUAUUUUUUAAUUUAAUCAAUUCAGUGUUAAAAUGCUUUUGGUCACGGGAUAAAUGAUGGCGUGGUUUCUUUUCAUUUUAACCCUUAAUAUUUUACAUAUUCUAUCAAUUUAGUAUUGAUCCUAAAAUUUCAAAAGAUUAAAAAAUUAGAAGUCUUCAAAAAGUAAUAUUAAAAACAAAAUAUAUUAUAAAAUAUUAAAAUAUAAAAAAAAGUACUACACUUGUAUAAAUAUUUCAUUAUUGUAAAGUGAAUGCCCAUUAGGAUAAGAAGGUUGAUUUUUUUAAGAUUGUGAUGUUUACGAGGAAUACAAUUUUAUAUCAUUUAUACUUCUUAUGCCUAUAAAUAUAGAUUUUAGAAAAACAUUGUCAAUUAUUAUUGCUAUUGAUGAAUAAAAUGUUUACUUUUUGUUUGGUCUCUCCUAUUUCUCUUCUAAACCAAAAGAUUUUGAAAAAAAAUUCCCCUACACCCACACCCACACCCCUUUUACCCAUAAGAAAUAACUCUAAUCUCUCACCUAAAACACCAUUUUUUUCCCAAUUACAUGUGAAUAAAAUUUAAAUAAAGUAAUCGGAUCAGGAUUCAAGAAGAAGGUAUCUAACUGUGGAUUCAAACUCACGUCACUCUUCUUCGCUAAUUAAAUUGCUUGGCUACCUAAAGAUUUGUUUUGCGUCGAGAAAUUUAUAAACCAGUUGCCAUUGGAGAGAAGAAAAGAAAACAAAAAAUCAUCAACAGUAAGAUUCAAACCUAUAGCCUUGUUUUUAACCUCUCACCUAAUCCAAAGCCUUAGAAAAUGUUAUGCCAAAAAAAUGAUGAAGGGAUUCAUUUGCAGAUGGAAAGAAAAGAGAGGCAAGAGUUGAUACACCAGUAUUUUCUUAUUUUGAUAAGGAAAGAGAAGCAUUCAAUUAUUAUGCAUAAUAUUUGGAUAAUUAAAUAUUUGACAAUUGAAUUAAUAUUGGGUCGAAACUUUAAUUACUGCUGUAUUGAACAAAAGAGCAUAAAGUUUAUUAUCUUGAGUAGUAAUUGUCAUUACUUUUGAUUAUUCGAAUUUGUUGUGCUUUAUAUUUUUAAUUUGUCAAAUAUGGUAGAUUGUAAUUUUAACUCUUUAAUUUAGUAACUGAUAUAUAUAUAUUUAUUGGAAUUUUAUUAUAUUAUCUAGACAAAUUACAAUGUUUCCAAUUUUGUAAAUAUGCAUAUUAAAAUAGCAAUUAUAGCGAGCCUUAUAUGAAAUAAUUUAAGAGAAAUAUCUGACUAUCAGAAUGUGAUGAUUCCAUCUAAAACUGAUUAUGAUUCGAUGUACUUGAAGUUGCAAAAUUAUGUGGGGAGAAUAUUAAUUAUGAAAACUUGUUAGAAUUUUUUUUUUCAAAUUUUUUAUGCUUCAAAUGUGCUCCUGUAGUAGCAAUACCGUGAAAAAGGCUUUAAAAUACAUAUUUGAACUAAUAUAAUGUUUACUUGUGAUUGAAUAAAAUAAUAAGCUAUUAAAUGAAAAAUCAUAAAACCCGUCCUACCAAAUUUGCUCCAUUCUCUGAAACAAAUGUAACAAUAUUUAAUAAAUUAAAAGGCAUAAUCUUGAAUGUGGAUUAGACCUGUCCAUGGGCCGGGCCCGGCUCGGGAAAAAUAUCAUAAGCCUGAGCCUUGCCCGACCCGGCCCAUUUUUAAAAUAAACAUUAAAAAAUUAUUUUAAAAAUAAAAAAGUUAUUUUAAAAGUAUUUAAAAAUUAAAAAAUAAUCACAUGUGAGUUAUUAACUCACAAUUUGUCAUUUGUGAGAUUACUUAUUUAGUUAUUUGUUUAAGAACAAAACUUUCAAAUUAUGAAAUCAAUACAAGUCUUGUUAAUGUUGGUGAGUUUAUUUCUCGUGUUUUCAAUGAUUAUUGUAUGCUAGAUUGUCUGUACGAGUAACUUUCACAAAAGCCUAUUGUUUAUACGUAUAAAAUGAUUUAGCAUAAUUAAUUAUUAAUUGUCUCCAAUUAGUAACUAAGUAUUACUUUUGAGGACAAAUUUUUUGUACAUAUAUAAAUAUUCUCCGUUAUAAAUGGCUUUUGAUCAAAAUCCAAAUACAACUCAUUUUGGAAUUAUUUAUUUGAAUACGUGGUAUAAGUUCAAGUUGCUCAUCCACAUUGUAAAAAUUUGGGUAUUCAAAGAAAGUUGAGAACAUAUUAAUUAUGAGUCUCGUUUUAUUAUUAAAUUUUUUGAUGGAAUUUUUGAUUCUGUUAUGAUAUUAUUUGGUUAUUACAACUUUGAUUUAAUAGUUUUCUCAAAUUAGGGAGAGAUAAAUAAUAGUUGGAUGAAAUAAUUAAUUGGAAUGAAUUAUCAUUAACUAGAUUAUUGUAAAAAGUAAUUUGAAUCAAGAGUUCAAAAGAUAAUUCACAAAUGCAUUUAUUGACCUAAUGAAAACAACUUAGUGUUAUAUACUAGUUGAUAUUUAGAAGUGCCAAUAAGACAAUUUUUUAGAUUUAGGAUCCGUUUGUUUACAUGUAAAAGGUUUUACGGAAAAUGUUUUCUACAUUUUCUUGUGUUUGUUUCACAAAAAACAGCUUGACCAACUGAAAAUGACUUACAUGUCAACGUAAAAUAAACCUUUUUUCUUGUAAAAUAACUUACUAAUUUGAAGAGCGUAAGUCAUUUUCUAAAGCUCAUCUCUAUAGGUAAUUUUAUUUUUAUAUAAAAAUUAACUUAAAUCAAGUUUAAUGUUGAUAAUAAAUUUUAUUUUUAUUUUUAAAAAUAUUUAAAAUAUUAUAAUUUUCAAUAUUAUUAAACAUACAUAUUUAAUUAUUUAUACUUUGUCAUCUAAUAAAUUAUUAAUAUAAUUAAUAUAAUUUAUUAUAUUAAUAAAUUAUUUAAUAUUUUAAUUUUAUUUUAAUAAUAAAUUUUAAAAAUAAUAAAUUUAAAUAAUAUUCUUCAUUGAAAAUAUUCAAUAUUCAAUAUUUAAAUAAUAAAUGUUUAUUAAAAUUAUAAACAUAUUAAUAAUAAAUGUUUUGUAGUAAAAAUGUUAAAAUAUGUCAUAAGUCUAUGUACUCUUCACAAAUUUAUAAUUUAGUCUCUGUAAUUCAAGAAUUUAGUCCAUUUACUUUUCAGAUUUGAAAAUCAAGUCCAAUUGUUGAAAUUGUUAAAUUUUUUUUGUUAAUUUUGUUGAUACCACAUUUUUAAAUAAAAAAUACUCACUUGGUAAUCAUGUAACUAAAAAAUGGAAUGAACCUGAAUUUAAUAAAAUAUUUUUAAUAUAUGUAAAAACAAUGUAAAAUAUAAAUUUAUAGAUAUAAAAUAAACUCUAUUAAACAAUGGAAAGAUAAGAAAAUCUCAAAUGUAUGUUUGUUUAAUUUAAAACAACUUUUAUAAAAUAUUUUUAAGAAAUUUGUCAAAUAACAGAAAAUAUUUUACAAAAAUUCAUCCAAACACAAGAAAAUAUUAGCUUUUUAAAAAAAGUAAAUCAUUUUCUGAAAGUCAUUUUCAGUGAAACAAACAAACCCUAAAUGAAAUUAAUAAAUGUAUGAAAUAUAGUAGAUUGAUUGAUUCCAACGGUGAAAAUUCUCGUAAAAUAAAAUAAUAAAUUAAAAUGAUUUUAUAGCGAAGAUAGGUGCUCCAAAAGAGACCCAAUAUAUAAUUAAUUAUUAAAACUCCACAAGAGAUUCAAGUACCAGAAUUUGAAAAUGAAUGAUGAAAAUAAAGAUAUCUUAAUAAGUCUGGUCACUACAAGAAAAUAUGGAAUUAAAAUGAAAAAUUGUCGUCAACAGUUUUGCAUGCAAUAAUUUUAUUGAGAUAAUGGAAGAGAAUAAGCAUCUUGAAUAAAUUUGUCCAAAUAUGUGAAGUUUCUAGACUAGAAGUCCAAAUUUCUAGAUUAGAAGUCCGAAUUUCUAAAUGUAUAAAGCUAGUGGGGUAUAAUUUAUGAAAGGCUUGACACGUAUCUAAUGAUUGUUGGUACAACCUUCUAUAUGAAUCAUUAUAUAAUGAAAUUUAUAUUAAAUUCCUUGAAGGAUUUAGAUUGUUGAAAGCAUAUAGAAAAUUUCAAAAAAUGGUUUAAUUUGUUUGCAUAAAUAUUUAUUAAAUUGGUUUGAACAUAUGUAUUAUUAUAAAAAGAUCAUGAACAGAGCUUGCUAUAAUUAUUGUUUAGAUUAUAAUAUAUUUCCCCAAAAUUCUUUCUCACUCAUGACUGAGUGACUUUCAAAAGAAAGAUUAUAUAAACAUUUAUCAAAUCCAUUCAAAUGAUCAUUUAAAAAGAUAGUAUUUAAUAUUAAAAAAUGUAGAAACUGAGAUAUUAUGAUGUCAUGAGAGAGAGUAAAUACGUGUUGUACUCUUUUUUCCUUAAUCGAGGUUUUAUACUAUUGGGUUUGUUUGUGAGGUUUUAAUGAGAAAACUAUAGGAUAUGUGCGUUCUUUUUCUUUCACUAAGAAUUUUUUUGCUAUAGGAUUUUUAUAUUACUAAGGUUUUGACGAAACACAUUAUAUAUCGAUGGACAUCAAAGAAGGAGUGUUAUAAAUAUUUUAUUAUUAUAAAAUGGAUGUCCAUUAGGAUAAGAAUUUUAAUAUAGUUUAAUACUCUAAUGUCCAUUAAAAAUAGAAUUUUAUAUAAUUUAUGCUUAUUAUGUCUAUAAAUAUAAAUUUUAGAAAGAAUAUUAUAAAUUAUUAUUCUCGAUUGAUGAAUAAGAUGCAUAGUUCUCUUUUGUUGUUCUAUUUCUCUUGAUGUUUAUCAUCUUUGUUCUUUAAUUUAUAACAUAUACCAAUCAGAAGUAAAAGAGCAUAAAUGCAAGCAAAUGGAAAUCAAAGACAAUUAGCGUGGAGACAUGCUGAAAUGAAAAUGCAUGUGACUGAACUAGGAUACAAGGGCAAUGCAAUGUGACAGCUUUACCUUUAGGUCCCUUACAUUGACAAGAGAGUCAUCUUUGGUUUUAAUAUGCAUUUUUUUUUCCCUUUAAGAUGAGAGAUACUACCUGACACCUUUAUAUCCCUUAGUUUCAGCAAGUGAAAAUAACGAUGAAGCUACCUAAAUAAAAGUUGAAUUUAUAAGACAAGAAAGGAAUAAAAGGAAGCAAUGAAAAAGCAGAGAAGGGAGAGGCCCUUAAGGGGAGGAUGGAAGCGAGUACGAUAGGGAGACAUCAUGGCGGUGGGGCGACGGCUUGGGGUUGCCAAAGAAAUCCCUUUCGGAGGAGGCUACUGGGUACGUCACUGCCAUUGUUGGCGGGCAAUGCUAUUCAAGAUAUGAAGUUGUAAUGGUUGUUGUUGUUAUUGUUGGUGGGCAUGACCCUCUCAUACUCCCCUCCUACUAUCAUUGUCGUCGCGGUUACUGAAUUUGCAUGGAUGCUCAAAUAUUUAUAUAUAUAUUUUGUAAUCUUAUAUUACUUAUAUAUUUAUGAUAUUUUUGAAUUUUUAUGUAUUUUUAUUUUGAGAUUUUUAAAAAAAAUAUAUUUUUAAAAUUUUUUUUAAGGUCAACACCAAAUUAAUAAAAUAUGUAAAUAUUGAAGAUAAUUUUGUCAAAUUUUUUAGAAUUAGGACUAAGUUGAUAGAAUAUGUAAAAUGUUAAAGGCUAAAUUUAUUAUUAUAUCAAUUAAAAAAAGGUAACGUCAGCCUUCCAUUUGGUGGCCAAAGGCAUUUUAACGAUGGAUCGAUUACAAAAUACAAUUAAUCUAAUGAGAGUGAUUAAAUUAACAAAAAAAAAUGAUGACCUAAAUAGGAAUGCCCUCAAACUUAAUUAAUUAUUUGAAUAGUUUACCCUAAAAAUUUUAAUGAUCCGUCAUUAUCUUAUUUAUUAAUAAUAUAUAGAAUUAAAUAAUUAAAUGUGUGCUUGAUUAUGUACAAAACUGAAAGGAUAGAAGAAUAUAAUGGAAUAUAAGAAAGAAGAUAAAAAUGUGAUUUGGUAAGAAAAGAUGUGAGAGGAAGAAAAAUAGAAAACAUGAAUAUUUUCAUCACAAUCCAGAAAAACAAAUCAUUCAAAAUUAAUCAAAGUCUAUUGGAAGUCCCUAUAAUAUGUAAAGUUCAUUUUAGUCCUUCUAUUAAAAAUGAUUUCAGAUUAGUUUUUGUAUAUUAAAAAUUUAUUCAAAUUAUGAUAUGUUAAAUUUGUAUAUUAAAAAACUCAAUCUUCCCAAAAAAAUUUCCAUGUAUUUUUGAAUUAUUGUCUGACUAAAAAAAUCUGUUAAGUCUGUAUUUUUUCAACCACAAUAUGGUUUAAAGAUGCAUGGAUUUUUUUUGGAAUGGUUGGGUUUUUUUUACGGGUUCAGUUGGGUCAUGGGUAAAUUAAUUGGUAUGAUAUUUUGUCCAAAUUAUUAGCAACUUAAUAGCAAAUUAAACAAUGUCAUGAUUUGAACAAAAUAAUUUUAAUGCACAAGGAUUAAUCUGGAGUAAUUGUUAGUAGAGGGACUAAAAUGAACUUUACUUAGUAGUAUAACAAUUUUGAAUAAAUUUACAUGCAUGAUAAGUACAAUUAUAUCGAUAAAUUCUACGGUUUGGAAGGGAUCCACUUACAGUGAUGUAAAACUAACCAUAACUUUUUAUAUGAUUAACAUUUUGACAAGCCGACCAUUGAAUUUAUUUCUCUAUUGAUGUAGAUCAUGCAUGUCAAGUUUGACAUAAAUUAAAAAUUUCUAACUAUUUGUUUUAAGUAAAAAAAAUUCAACCCUUAAAUAUAUAAACAAUUUAAAGUAAAUAGAGGUGAUAGCAUAUUUUGAUCAAAUCCUGGAAGGAAGCAGCAGCAACUCCACUUCCAAGCUUAAUCUUCACACCAGCUAAACAACCUAACAGUUACAACCAAGUAUCAUGGGUAACAUAAUUUUCUUUUUCAUUGUAUCAAACAGAGCCUCCAUAGCAAGAAUUAGUUCACUGUUAAAACAGCAUAAUAUACUCUUUCUCAAGUAGUUUUCUUACUGUAGCCAGGUUGGUGGUGACACCAGUUGCAGUCUCAUUCCGAACAUAAUGGUAGCAGGAACUUUUUAAGUCGGAUCAAACGGGAUUCAGGUUACACAACUCUAACAUGUUUAAUCUUUUCAUUUGUUUUGAUUAUGUUCUUAUUUAUAUUUGGUGUUGAUUUGAAUUUCAUUAUGAAUUAAUUAUUUUAAGUGGUGAAGAAAUAGUAGAUUAAUGGGUUAAUAGCUAAAAUAAGUUAAAGAUGAAUUUAGAUCAUAACUACAUUAACUAUUCAAUUCGCUAUUCAUAAUUAGCUUAGGUGAUAUAUAGAUUAAGGAACAUACUUGGGUGGAGUGUGACGAGAUGAUAACUAAACCUUAGCCAAUUAAUUGAAUAGUUAGUGGAGCCAUUGAAAUAUAGACCAAUUGUGAGGCUACUUAUAAAAUAUACACCAAUGUAGGUAGUGAGGAUCGAUAAUAGUAUCGAUCAACGGUUUAAAUUAAGUAUUAUUUCUUUUUAAGUUUAUAUAUAUCAUUUUGAUUAUUACAAAAUAUUAUCUUAUUAUAAAAUAAAUUUCGAUUGUCAAAAGAAAAUUGUACUAUAAUAUUUUGUAAUAAAUAUCUUUUAUGUCGUGUUUAUUUUAUAAAAAACAGCUUUUAAAAGAUUAUUUAAAAAAAUUAUAAAAUAACAAACAAAAUAUUUUAUGUAAAAUCAUCCAAACACCGAAAAUAUCAAUUUUUUACCACUAGCUUGGAUUUAUCAUAGUUAGGGGCUUUUGGUGAAAAUGAAGGUGAUAGAUACAUGAUAUAUAUAAAGUAAGCAUAAUGUACAAUUCACCCGCACGGUAUACAAACAAACUAGUAUUUGUCUAUAAAACAUUAAUCUCCAAACCAAAUAACCCCCUUUUUUAUCGCAUCGAUAGUCUUUGUAUUUUUAAUCCUACACUAUCUUUCCCUCUGAAAAUCAACAUUUCUCUCCCUUUUUCCGAUCGGACGAUAGUUCAGAAAACGAAUCGUCUUCCUCCUUUGGAAUCGGGAGCUCUCACCUUACACUCGGCGACCCGAACCACCCUCAAACCCAGGAGGGACCGGAGUGAAAACGGUCUCUUUGUUUAAAAAAAAAAUGGACAGCCGAUUAUUGUGUUUCAUUAUUGGGCGAUUUAAAUAGGCAUGCACGAUUCAUUGUUAACCCCUGCUCCUGUCCAUUUAUACCCUAAAUAUUUCUUCUCCUCAUUACUCAAAAAGCUCUCAUUUAUUUUCUUUUAAUGGUCAGCCUCUUUUCGGAACAAUAAUCGGCUUUUAUUUUUGGCGGUCGAUUUUUUUUUCCUACUCAUUUUUUGUCCUCGACGCUUUGAGUUUAGGGUUUUGGGUUGCGAGCUUUUUCUUUAAAAUUUUAAUGUUAGGGUUUGUUAACCGGAGUUUCUAGUGUUGGAUUUUUCCCGUGUUUAGAGUGAUGGAUGUUUUGUUUUCUUUGUUCAAUUCACGUUUUUCUUGGGCCUUCUUGGUCAGACUUCUCGAUUGUUUGGAUUGAUUUAGAAUUUCGAUCGUUCUGUCCAGAAAUUCACCUGGCAAGUGUCUGAGCAAUACUUUUGGCUGAUUGAUUUCUCAGCUUCUCAGCAAAGCUUGUGAAGCUGCGUUGCAUUUCCUCAAAUCUCUUUGUAUAUUUGUCAAAGAGGAGAGUUAUUUGCAUAGGAUUUCCAUAUGAAAUGAUGGCAUUUUUUCGGAACUAUUCAAAUGACACAGACGCACACGAUGUAUUGGAAGAGAAAAGCCAGGGACAAAGCAUUGGUAGGAUUCGAAGUUCAGUAGGAAAUGAUGAUGUGGGUGGGAGUGGGACUUAUUCCGAAAGAGAAUUUGAUAUUAAUGCACACUAUCAAAGUGACGGGGAGCCAGAUGGUUCUGUUAGGCUCCAUAAUGAGGUGGCUGCUGCUAGCGGUGCUGGUGUUUCAAAUUCAAAUUUUCAGCCACCGGGAAGAAGAGUAGCUCCUGGAAAAUGGGGUUCGACUUUUUGGAAGGACUGUCAGCCUAUGGACCACCAGGGUGGAUCGGACUCUGGGCAGGAUUCGAAAUCUGACCACAGGAAUUUGGAAGCUUCGGAAUAUAAUUCAUCAGAUGACAGGGAUGAUAGGUUGGAUGUGGAAGAUGAUGAGGCGCAGAAAGGCAAGGCUCAGAGGGGCAAUUCUGAUGUUCCUGCAGAUGAGAUGUUAUCUGAUGAAUACUAUGAACAGGAUGGCGAAGAGCAAAGUGAUACCAUGCAUUAUACAGGCUUUAGCAAUUCUGUUGGGUUAAAUACUAGGCCAAAGUCUAAGCCUGCUUCUCUUAGUAGCACUAUGUCCGGGAGUUCAAGAGCUUUAAAUAACUUCAACUAUGAUGAUGAGGAAAACAAUCAUGAUGUUGAUUAUGAAGAGGAGGAGGAAGAAGAUGGUACAUUAUAUCUUACCGUAUUAUUUUCAUGUUCUGCCUUAUUUCUUAUUACAAUGUUUCACAUUGGGUCACUGCUCAGGUCGAAUAAACCAGUGCACUGAACUUGAUGAAUGAUAUAUUCUCCCAUGAUUUUAACUAUACAACAGUUCUUAGUUAGUCUUGUCUUGAGAUGUCAAGUUUUUCCUGUCUUAUUUGCAGAAGAUGACCCUGAUGAUGCAGAUUUUGAGCCUGACUAUGAUGCUGCAAGUGGUCGUGCUGGGAAUCAGGUCAUUGAUUUGGUUUGCUACUCGCCUUCUGUUUUGAUUUUAAAUUUAUGGUUUUUAUUUUUGACACUUCCACACUGUAACUUUUGUGUAAUUUUUGAAGGCAAAUCUUAUCCUAUCCAUUUUUGGCCCAAGUAAAAAGAUAAUCACGAAGAAAGGAGGAUAUGUAUAAGAAGCUGCAUUUAAUCUUAGGAAUUGAAGCAUGUUGGUCUAUGUUACAUGGACUAGGGAUAGGGUGUUGGAUAUGGGUAUCUCUAAUGGAUGUCGGACUUGGUUGAAUGUGCAAUUUGCAUAGAUAAUUAUUAUCGGUUUAUGAAAGCUAUAUCUAGUCACCUGAAAAAGCUGUUUAUGCUCAUAAGAGAGAACUUCCCUCUCUCUCUCUCUCUCUCUCUCUCUCUCUCUCUCGUGGUUGUUGAAAGAAUUGUUCUUGUAGGUUUCAAAUGAUCCUGCUUUUGGUUUUGGGCUACAAAAAUGUAGUGGAAUGACUGUUGGUAUAUGUGGUUAUGUUCUGGGCAACUGCUAAGCCAAUUGAUGAGUUUUAGGAUAUAGGGAAAAAAGAUUCACUUACAUUUCUAGUAAGGUUGAAUUUAGGGGACUGCAACUGAAGCUGGUAGUUUCAGGAGAUUGCUUUUUAUCUUUUUGAUGAGGACAGGAACAGUGGUUAUGUAUAUGAAUUAUUUAAAUUAUGGUCUUACCGCAUGGCUUCAAAGGAAAUUAUGGUUUUGAUAUUGUUCUUCUUGUUAAUGUCUACUUAGGUUCUCAUUUAUCUACUUUGAUGUUUGAAGGACUAGUUUUUUUUUUCUCUCUCUCUCCAGAGUUGAGCAUGAACCUUUUAUACAUUGGUAGAUUGUUUAGAAUUGCCUUUUCCUUCAUAAUUUUUUGCUCUAAUCCCUUGCCUUGCUUCUGCAUUCCAUUCAUUAUUUCACUUCUGACAGUUAAAAUUAGGUUCAAACUUCCUGGUACUCUAGUUUCUAGGGGGAAUAAUGGAGGGGAUUUUUUUGGAGGAUCUGUUCUUUUAUUAAAAAUAUGUUCUAUGGCGAUCAUGAAGGUUGGUCCAUGAUGGUUGUGUUGCUUAUGCCUUACAUCAGCCUGAUACUUCUUCCUGCUAAUUUAGUUCGUUAAACAGGACAAAGACUGGGAUGGUGAAGAUUCUGAGGAAGAAGACAAUAGUGAUGGUGAUGUAGAUAUUUCAGAUGAAGAGGAUUCUUAUUAUAGAAAAAAACCUAAAGGAGUGCAACAUGUUAAAGUUGGACUUAAUGUCAAACCCACUAAAGAACGUAAAUAUACCAAUCGACAAAGAAGAGGGAAAUCAUCAUUUGAUGAGAAUGAAUGCUCAGCUGAGGAUUCUGACAGUGAAAGUGUCCAUGAUUUCAAGAGCAUUGCUAGAAGAGGUGGAAAUCACCGUAUAAGUAGUGCUCGUUCUAAUACGUUCACAAGCAUGGGAAGAAACAGUGAGGUCCGUACUUCUAGUAGGUCUGUACGGAAAGUAUCAUACGUUGAGAGUGAAGGAAGUGAAGAAAUUGAGGAAGUCAAGAAGAAGAAGACUCUAAAGGUAAAUUCUUCUCAUGUUGUUAUGGUUAUUAUUACAUACUUUACUAUUUUAGCAGGUAUGUAACGUCUUUCAUAUUUGAUGUAAUUGAUUGCUUAUAAAUUGGAACUUCUGAUGUAGGUUAUCCAAGUUGGUAUUUAUGGACUUUGCAGAUAAAAUGUAAUAAUGACUCUGUAAUCAGCAUUCUGUUGCAUAUAUAUUCUGCAUCCAUGUUGUAUGAACAUCGCAAUUUUUCCUUGAUUAAAAGUUGCUUGAUAAGGAUCAUGGCAACUAUUUUUAGUAGUUCCAAUUUAUAAGCAAUUAUUUUUAGUAGAUUAGUUGGAUCUUCUGUUGCAUAUAUAUUCUACUUUAUUUUUUUAGUAGAUUAGUUGGAUCUUUCAUAUUGAUGCAACUAUUUGAUUGUAAAUGAACUUGUGAGAUCUAAAUUAUUCAAGUUGUUUUUUGUAUGUAUUUGACAGAUAAACUGGAAUAUUGACUGCAUAGUCAGGCAAUCCUUUGUCUCUAUUCUUUUUUGUCUGAAUUGAUAUUGUUUGCUAUUGAUUAAUGCUUGCAUGGUUAGGAUCAUAACAUUCUUUAUAGCCUUUGUAUCCUAGGCGAUUCAUAUUGUCAGUAGAUGAGAUUGGAACAAGUAGUAUGAUACACCUACUCUCCCCAAGUAUUUUUUUUGGCUUUUCCCUUUUAGCUCAGUUCAACUUACUAUUACCAGAGAUUCCUUGUUUAAAAUGUGUUGACUUUCUAAUUCUGUUAUUGAGGUUGAUCUGGUCCCACUCUUGUUUGUGUUUAUGUGUGUUUGCCCUUUGUUUUGGUUUUACGUGUUAAAUCUUGAACUUGCAUAAUGGGGUGGGAAGCGCAUGGACUUCGGAUACCUGAACGGGAGAUAAUGAAGCAACCUUCUGAAGCUCUGUUAAUUUUUUGCCAUGUAGUGAAUGUGGUUGGUUUACAUAAAUGUGCAUCCUUUUGGUGAAUUUAAGUCCACAAUCUUGAAACAUCUAACUUAUGAUGGUCUUUUAGUAAUAUUAUUAUUAUUUGAAAAUCUAAUAUUGCUUGUUUAGGAUGAAGCUGAAGAGGAAGAUGGUGACUCAAUUGAAAAGGUGUUAUGGCAUCAACCAAAGGGCAUGGCUGAUGAUGCUAUUAGAAACAAUAGAUCUACAGAGCCUGUUCUGCUAAGCCACUUGUUUGAUUCUGAACCAGAUUGGAAUGAGAUGGAAUUCCUGAUUAAAUGGAAGGGGCAGUCACAUCUUCAUUGUCAAUGGAAACCGUUUUUUGAGCUACAAAAUGUGAGUUAUUAUUAUGUGUAUAGUAAUGCAUGUGUCCUUAAGAAGUAUUAUUUGUGGAGGCUUGUUUCUAGUGCCAUGGGUUUCUCUCUCUCUUCCUCUGAUUACUUGUGCUUUUUGUUUCCAUGCAUGAUUUUCCAGCUUAGUGGUUUUAAGAAGGUUCUAAAUUACACAAAAAAGGUGAUGGACGAUGCAAAAUACAGGAAGGCGCUGUCACGUGAGGAGGUACAUUGCAUCUUAACUUGUGAAUUUCUCAUUCCAAGUUGGGGAUCAUUUGAAUCACUUUGGAAAAUUUACUUAUUUUGGGUUCUGAAUAUAUUAUAUACCCAAAUUAUUUUGAACAAAUUCAUAACCGAUGUAUGUUUGCUCUGUGCCAACUACAUGGCUCAAUUUUAUGGUAAAUGGAAAGAAAAUAAGCAUGCUGAAAGGUAUAAUGUAUAAUGCUUUUGUUGCAUAUCUUUAGCUCUCUAGAAUACAGGCUAUAAGCAGUAUGUGAUAUUAUCAGUACUCUUUUCUUUUUUACUAGACUAAUUUGUUUUCACAAUCAUGGUGGUCACAUACUAAGGUUUAUCAUAGAGCUUUGACAUUAAGGUAAUUUAUGCUUUUAUUGUUUUUUUUUUGGGGGGGGGGGGGCGGGCACUUAAAUAUGUGGAACAAGUUAUUCCUGCCAUGGGAAGGAGUGAAAAAGAAUUGUACACUUGCAUUAAACAGAUUGUAAGAUAAGCCUUCUUUUGGAAGUUGCUUAUUUUUUUUGCUUCUGACUUUUUAUUCUCUAUUACCCAUUAGAUUGAGGUAAACGAUGUAAGUAAGGAAAUGGACUUGGAUCUAAUCAAGCAAAAUAGUCAGGUUAGCUUUAUUAAUUCCUUGUUUCUUUAAUGUUUUGGUUGAUUUUCUUGGUUGUACUCCUUAAGUUAAUCGUAAUUGAUUUACAUGUUCAGGUGGAGAGAGUAAUUGUUGAUCGAAUCAGUAAGGAUGCCUCUGGGAAUGUCAUGUCAGAGUAUUUGGUCAAGUGGCAGGGAUUGUCUUAUGCAGAAGCAACAUGGUAACAAUCUAGACUUAUAGUUUAAUAACAUAUGAAAUUUGUGUCUUUAUCAUGUAGACUUUGUACUCUUUAUCUAUUCUUUCUGCAUGUCCUGCUUAACACAGCUCCAGUAUUUAUGAUUGUGGUUACAUAUUUGUUUUAUCAGGGAAAAGGAUAUAGAUAUUACAUUUGCUCAAGAUGCUAUUGAUGAGUAUAAGGUAACAUGUCCUGCAAAUUGUGCUUGCGCAUGCUUUUACUAUAAUUUUCUGUAACAGCUACCGUGGCAGUGUUUGUAAUGUUGUGCAAUUUUUGGACACUACCGCCUAGGCAUUAUUCAGAGUGAUAUGGUUGUGACCUAUACUUGCCUUUCAGUUAUUGCAGUGGAAUUGCUGGCAUGGCCCCAUGUUUCCAUGUUAGACGUAUUGCAGUUAAGCAUUAUGUUUGAUCUUUACGUAGGUCAAAGCAAAUGAAUACAGGCUGGUGGUACAUUGGUCCCUUUCGUCAUUACAAGUUAAAGAGGUCCAUGAUAGCUAACUUCGGUAUUAGAAAAUAGGUGGUACAUUAACUAAAUUACAAUUUUAACUCUUAUUUCUUAUUUAAGGGUGCAGUUGUUUCAUGGAAAACAGCUUGGUCAAUCAAAAAUGACUUGCAAGUCAACGGAGAAUAGUCUCUUUUAACUGUAAAAUGACUUACCCUCUUAAAAAGCGCAAGUCAUUUUCUGGAAAAAACCUCCUUUAUGGGUAAUUUUAUUUUUAUAUAAAAAUUAACUUAAAUCAAGUUUAAUAUUAUUAUAUUAAUAAUACUUUUUAAUUUUUAAUUUUAAAAUAUUUAAAUAAUAUUUUUCAUAUAUUGUUGAAAAGUAUUUAAUAUUAAUAUAUUGAUAAUAAAUAUCUAUUACAAUUAUAAAUAUAUUAAUAAUAAAUGUUAUAAAGGUUAAAAUAUGCCAUAAGUCCAUGUACUCUUAACAAAUUUGGAACUUAGUCCUUGUACUUCUAUUUUUAAGAAUUUAGUCCCUGUACUUUUUAGAUUUGGAAACCAAGUCUAAUUGUUAGCAUUGUUAAUUUUUUUUGUCAAUUUUGUUGAUGUUACAUUUUUAAAUAAAAACUAUCCACUUCGUAGUCAUGUAACUAAAAAAUGACGUAAUGAACUUGAAUUUAACAAAAUAUUUUUUAUAGUGUUAAUAAUUAAACCUAAAUUUUGAUAUCUAAAAAGUAGGAUUAAAUUUCCAAAAAUAAAAGUACAUGGACUAAAUUUUAAGUUUACAAAGAGUAUAAGGACUUAUGACAUAUUUUAACUUAGUAUAAAAUAUGAAUAUUUUAAUUAUAUAAAUAUACAUAUUUGUUUAAGUAAUGCUUAGCUUGAUUUGUCUCUUACAACUCUAAUGUGUCAAUAUGUACUCUCAUAUAUGUAAUUUAAAUUAAGUUUUAAUUAAGCAUUAUUUAUUAUUAAGUUUAUAUAUGACAUUGAUUAUCACAAAAUAUUAUCUUAUUAUAGAAUAAAUUUCGAUUGUCAAAAGGAAAUUGUGCUAUAAUAUAUUGCAACAAAUAUAUUUAUGCCAUCUUUGUUUCACAAAGAACAACUUUUAGAAAAUGAUUUUAGGAAAACUUGCCAAACUACGGAAAAUAUUUUAUAGAGAAUCAUCCAAACACCAGAAAAUAUCAUCUUUUCCAAAAAUUCAAUAUAUUUUUCAGAAAUCAUUUUUCGGAAGUUGUUUUCAAUGAAACAAACACAACCUAAAUAUCUUAUGAUAAUGCCAAUGACUUUUCGCUUUUUGAUGAUUACAGUCUUCACCAUUUUGAAAUCUUUAUUUUCAGUAUAUUAGAGCUUGUUAGGUUUUCUAGGAGAAUAAUUGGCGCUGAAUUAGAAGGAAAAUGAGGAAUUAAGCAUUUGUAGUGUAUCUUAUGAUAUUACAAGCUGGAGGUUCUGGUAAAAUGAUUUUUGGCAACAUGUAUAAGCCAUGUAUAGGCCAUGAUGUUUGAAACUGAAAUUGUACAUGACAAGUUGAAAUUUAUAAUGUGUAUUCUAAUCCAUUAUCUGUUGUUAAAUUUGGUCAGCACUCGCCAGGGCUUCCUGUUACUUUUUUUUUUGUUUUAAUUAUUUUUUGAAUGUGUAAAAUAUUCUCUAUGGUCAUACAAAUUCAACUACUUGUCAUUCUGUAAACAGGCUCGUGAUGCUGCAAUGGCUGUGCAGGGAAAAAUUGUAGAUCACCAGCGUAAGAAAGGCAAAGGUAUGUACUGCUAAUUUGUGUUUAUUAAAGGUUGUCCUACAGCCACUGCCCCUCUAUGUUCCCUCUAGAACUCAGUCUUAGUUUCUUCCCCUUUUUUUUAUUAUACUUUUACAGUUCAUCUUGUAAAUGGCUCAUUUAAUUUGGGUGCAUUUUUCAUCUUUAGCAAGUUUGCGGAAACUUGAUGAACAACCAGAGUGGUUAAGGGGAGGAAAGCUUCGUGAUUAUCAGCUUGAGGGUUUGAAUUUUCUUGUUAACAGGUAUAUACGUGUUUCUAUUGAUUUAGGUUAGGCAUUUUUUUUUGAUUUAGGUUAGGCAUUUUUUUUUACGGGAAAUGAUUAUCUGAAUUCUGAAUCCCUGAGCAUCUGAUAUAUAAUUAAUGAAUGUUCUUCGUGUUCACAUAACAGUUGGAGAAAUGAUACUAAUGUCAUCUUAGCUGAUGAAAUGGGUCUUGGUAAAACUGUCCAGUCAGUAUCUAUGCUUGGUUUCUUACAGGUAAACCUGGUCUUCUAAGAACAGCUGGGUUAUUAUUCUGAAUUGUAUGGCUUUCCGUUGAUAUUUUUAUUUUUUAGAAUGCUCAACAAAUCCCUGGACCAUUUCUUGUGGUUGUUCCAUUAUCAACCUUAUCAAACUGGUCUAAAGAAUUCAAGAAGUGGCUUCCAGAUAUGAAUGUUAUUGUAUACGUUGGUACUCGUGCAAGCCGAGAGGUGAGUCCUGUUUUUCUUGUAUGUUUGCUCGUUUUAUUCAAUAUAUCUGACAAUUGGAGUGGGUUUAAUAUGUUUUUAUAUGUCACUGUUCUGUCUCCACCCAAAUAUACCCUUUUUGUUGAUUUUUAUCUGCCUAUGAAGUUAUAAUUUUCUGUUAGAACGUCUGGUACUGGUUGCUUUGUAUCUUAACUAAGGUGGGUGGUAGUUAAAAUAUUUUGAACCCUUCCUCACUCCAAUUUUAUUCUUUUUACAUUUUUAUUUUCUUUUGCUGGCAGGUUUGUCAGCAAUAUGAAUUUUACAAUGACAAGAAAAUUGGCAGACCUAUAAAGUUUAAUACCCUGUUAACUACGUUCGAGGUAGUUCUGAAGGAUAAGGCAGUGCUGUCUAAGAUAAAGUGGAACUAUUUGAUGGUUGAUGAAGCUCAUAGGUUGAAGAAUAGUGAGGCACAGUUAUACACAACGCUUUCAGUAUGCGAUAUUUGAUCCCUUCCUGCCGUAAAUAAUUAUAUUGGUUAUGUUAAUAUGAUUAAUAUUGAAUGGGGCCUUUCUGUUUUCUCAGGAAUUUAGUACUAAGAACAAGUUGCUAAUUACUGGAACUCCAUUACAGAACAGCGUUGAGGAGCUAUGGUAUUAUUUUCUUUUACUUUGUACUACUAUGAGAUUUUGCCAAUUUUAGAUGUAGAUUUUGAUACUAGUUUUUUAUAUGCAUAUAAAAGAAGAGAAUCUAUCAAAGCUGAAAUUUCUUCUGAUAUCAACUUUAUAUGUUGCAUUUAGACAAUGGGAGUUUCUGUGCCUGCUUUUAAUUGUUGUUUUAUAACCAUAGCCUCUUGAGGAUAAAAUUCUUUUGCCUAACUUUAAUCUUGUUAAUAUUUGUACUUUAUAACUUUUUAAACUCAUCUUUCCUCACUAUUUCUGGUUGACCGCAUGAUUAUCUUUGUUCUUUUUGUCUCUCUUGUGAAAUGUUACUGGGUAGCUGAAUAAUAGUUUUUAUUUAUUUAUUUAAAUUUUUAGUAAUAAAAUGAUACCAACCUUUUUUAUUGGCAAACCAAUAAUUCUAUUCAUUUCAAACUUGGAAUCUAGCAUGGGGAACAGACUUGCAAAUCCUUUUCAAUUGGCUGAUGAAUAGUCUUGUAUGCUUCUUCAGAUAGUAUUUUCCAUUAUUUUCAUCCCUGAAUCUUCUUUUGAUAGGGCUCUGCUUCAUUUCCUUGAUCCUCACAAGUUUGAAAGUAAGGAUGAUUUUGUUCAAAAUUACAAGAACCUUAGCACAUUUAAUGAAAAUGAGGUAUGCCAUUAGAAGUUAUUGCAUCCUUUUGUCAUUUUUCCUAGGUUAUGUUAUAUUUUACUUGAUCUAAAACCAAAAUCUGUAUUUAAUUUGCAUGUAGCUUGCUAAUCUUCACAUGGAAUUGAGGCCUCACAUUCUUCGAAGAGUUAUCAAGGAUGUGGAGAAAUCUUUGCCUCCAAAAAUUGAGCGUAUCCUUAGGGUUGAGAUGUCCCCGCUUCAGAAACAGUAAGAACUGUAAACUGCUUGCGAAGUUAUGCAUCUUUCUAUUGCAUCAACACAUGAAACUAUUCAUAUUUAUGCAGGUACUAUAGGUGGAUUUUGGAACGCAACUUCCAUGACUUAAACAAGGGUGUUCGUGGCAAUCAGGUUAGUAUCAUGUAUCAUUUCGCUGCUUGAAAACUUUACUUGUGCAGCUUUUUGUGGUUUUUGUCUUCUUUCUUCCGAUGUUUGGUUGUCAUUUGAUUUUACUACCAAUAAAAGCAUGCAGUAUAUAGCGAAGGUGAGUAUUUUUGUAAUUGUUUAUAAAUUUUUUCUUCUCUUUCUGUUAUUCUCAAGCAGUGCUACCCAUCGUAGAAAAUUGAUGUAGGACUUUUCUCUUAAAUUGCAGGUCUCACUUUUAAAUAUAGUGGUUGAAUUGAAGAAAUGCUGCAAUCAUCCCUUUCUGUUUGAAAGUGCUGAUCAUGGUUAUGGCGGGGACACUAGCAUGAAUGAUAUUAGUAAAUUGGAAAGAAUUAUAUUAAGCAGUGGGAAGCUAGUCAUACUUGACAAGUUGCUUACCAGGUUGCAUGAAACAAAGCAUAGAGUUCUAGUCUUUUCCCAGGUUUGUAUUGGACUUGGCAAUUUGUGUAUCCAUGUUGUGUUCAUGUCCAUGUUAUUUUCUAGUGUCAUAAACAUGUUUAAGGUAUUAUAUAUAUUUUAAUAUGUUAAGAAUCCGUGUUAUUAGAUUUUAACAUUUUCCUGUACUUAGUGUUGUUUGUGUUGCAUCCAAUAUUGUCAGGUCUUACUUUUUCAUACUUGUUGGCCACUUGUUUAGUAGUCUUUUACUCUUUUAUGCUAUUUUUGGGAACUUAGAGGGAAAGGAAAAUCAAGGUGGGGUUGAAGAGGGAGAAUGAGAGGGUAUGGUUUGCCUUUUUUGGCUUCCUGAAUAUACUGGAAGGGAAGAGAAAGAUGGUUAAUGUGGCACAACUUGUUUGGUCAAGUAUUGGAAAGGAAAGGAGAUGAUAAUUUGGUAUAUUUUGUAUUUGCAUCCUUUAUGAGUUAUAAGAAGAAACCAAAGCUGACAUUAAAUUGUUGUUCUAAAGCAAAAGCUUUUAAUGAGGUAAAUAGGUAAUAACUCCCCUCCAGAUACUCUCUAUUGCAGAAAAUGGUGGCUUGGCUUUACGAGUAUCUCCUAAUAUCUUCUUUAUUAAUCUCAAUUAUUUGAAACUGAACCACUCUUCCUUCAUCCCUUCACUUUCCUGGGUACUGUAAUUUGUGUAUGUGCUAGUAUACAUAUGUGCAUCCAUACACUUGCACAAUGUGUGUGUGUGUUAAGAAUUGGUGUUAUUGUAUUUGUUAAUAUAGGUAGAUGAGUCAUUAGGUUUCUGGAAAUUAUCUAGUCUGAGUUCUUGAGGGAAACAGAGAAAGCUGAAUAGAGGAAGUAUUGUAUCUGUAUGUUUUAUUAUAGUUUACUUUAUUAUCAUUUUUUUUCUCUCUUCUAAUUCUAUAUUUCUAAUCCCAUGAUGGAUGGGUGUUUAAAGUUGUCCUCUGGAUAUUAUAAGACUGUGCUAGCUGGCCUUUAUGUUUUUAGUUGACGAUAAGUCUGAUUAAGUUUUGCAAUCUUGUGUUGUACUUGUCAUGUUCUGCAAAAUGGUAAAAAUUGCCAGAUGGUUAGAAUGCUGGAUAUACUAGCCGAGUACUUGUUGCUCAGAGGAUUCCAAUUUCAGAGGCUUGAUGGUAGUACAAAGGCAGAGUUACGACAGCAAGCUAUGGAUCAUUUCAAUGCACCUGGAAGUGAUGAUUUCUGCUUCCUUCUUUCUACUCGGGCUGGUGGCCUUGGUAUAAACCUUGCAACUGCGGACACUGUUAUAAUAUUUGAUUCUGACUGGAAUCCCCAAAAUGACUUGCAGGUCUCAAACUUGAUAUUCUGUUUUCCCAAGCAUAAUUUUCUAUCUUAUGGUGAAAAUUUAGUAGCCUUGUUUAUGCUUACCGUUUUAUUUUGCUUCAGGCAAUGAGUAGAGCUCAUAGAAUUGGGCAACGUGAAGUUGUCAACAUUUACAGAUUUGUGACUAGCAAAAGUGUUGAGGAAGACAUCCUGGAGCGAGCUAAAAAGAAGAUGGUCAUUCACCUUAACCUGAUUGAAUUUGUUCAUAGAAUUGGAAAUUUCCACAUAUAAGUAUUCAUCAUGUGUUAGUGAAGAGAGCCUAACUUAAUUUUCUUGUUAGGCAUUUAAAGUGAGUAAUUUAAUGUGUUUUCUUGCUUGGUGCUUUCUACAGGUGCUUGACCAUUUGGUGAUCCAAAAAUUAAAUGCUGAGGGUAGAUUGGAGAGAAAAGAAACAAAGAAAGGGAGUCAUUUUGACAAGGUAAGGACUUGUCUUGAAGUAAUUAUUCAAGUAUGAAGGCUUAUAUGUUUUAUCUCUGGAUUUUGAUUGUUGGAAUUCACCAACAUGAUUGGCCUCUUCUUUCCUUAAUAUAUGCUCUUGCUAUUCAAGUUUUUAAUACUUUUUGAUCUUUAACGCAAUUCAAAUCUCUUUUACCAUUUCAGAAUGAGCUAUCAGCAAUUUUGAGAUUUGGGGCUGAAGAGUUGUUCAAGGAGGACAGAAAUGAUGAAGAAAGCAAAAAAAGGCUGUUAGGUAUGGAUAUAGAUGAAAUUCUUGAAAGGGCAGAGAAGGUUGAGGAGAAAGUGGGUGAGGAGGAAGGGAAUGAAUUGUUGAGUGCUUUUAAGGCAAGCAACUUAUGCUUUUUUACAGUGGACUUUUUUUGUAAUAGGUGUAUAGGUUCUUUCUUGUGUAACUGGUUUCUAUUUCUUCCAUCAAGCUCAGGUUGCUAAUUUCUGUAAUGCUGAAGAUGAUGGUACUUUCUGGAGUCGUUGGAUAAAACCAGAUGCUAUUGCACAAGCCGAGGUAUUAUCCUGAUAUUCUUUUAUCAAUCUUAUUCUAUGAAAAGUUUCUUGAAUGCCUACUUUUACAUUUUUAACUUUUAUGUUUGUUUCUGACAUUUAGUUGGAUCCAUUUAUUAUUUUUUUGCAUUAGGAUGCUCUGGCUCCUCGUGCUGCAAGGAAUACCAAGAGUUAUGCUGAGACAAGUCAACCUGAGAGAAGUAACAAAAGAAAGAAGAAGGGCUCUGAUUCUCAGGAGCUUCAGGAGAGAGUACAAAAGCACCGUAAAGCAGAAUACUCCGCUCCCUUGGCACCAAUGAUUGAGGGAGCAACUGCUCAAGUGAGAGGAUGGUCUUAUGGGAACCUGCCUAAAAGAGAUGCUCUGCGCUUUUCUCGAGCAGUAGGUUUCUUGGUCUUCUGGAAUUUGUCUGGCAUAUAAAACAUAUUUCUCUAUUCAUCGUAUUUCCUAUGCAAUCUUGCAACAUAUUACUGAUAUUGCUGCUAUCCACUAUCUGGAGACACGUUUUCCUUUUUUGGUUCAACUCUUUUACCAAAUAUCUACAUCCAACGUGGAUAUGUUCAAUUUUUCCUAGACUUUCAUAUAUUUGGAGAGUCCUCAGUAGAUCAUAUCUCCAUACCCAUGUCUGGAUAUCCAUCAUACACGAGUAUUUCUAGCAAGAUGGAGAGUUGGAGUAACAUAAGUACACAUUCUUACUCCAUCAGCCCGUUCCUCCUGAUUAGAAAUGUCAUGUUCUAUCCUUCUGCAUGUCUUCUUUAAUUUGUUGCAUUUGCCUCUUCAAUUAUUGUAGGUUCUGCUGACUGAUUUUAUGCGUUUUUGUUUUUGAAAUUUCCUUUUGCUCCAAAAAUCAGGUUAUGAAAUUUGGGAAUGAGAACCAAAUCACUUUGAUAGCAGAGGAAGUUGGUGGUGCUGUUGCAGCAGCUCCAAUUGAUGCACAGAUUGAGCUUUUCCAAGCUUUGGUUGAAGGAUGUAGAGAAGCAGUUGAAGUAGGAAAUGCAGAACCUAAGGUUUGUUCUAUCAGUUACAAAUGGUAUUUUGUUUUUUAAUUCUUCAUUGGCGUGCAUCAUCCAGUUAAAUUGUAGGCCCUUCUGUUAUUCUGUUCUUUUGUGUGGUAAUUACAUUCAGGGACCAUUAUUGGACUUCUUUGGCGUCCCUGUUAAGGCGAAUGAUCUGUUCAAUCGUGUCCAAGAACUUCAGUUGUUAGCAAAGCGAAUAAGUCGGUAUGAAGAUCCUAUAAGGCAGUUCCGUGUGUUGAUGUACCUUAAACCCUCUAAUUGGUCCAAGGGGUGCGGAUGGAAUCAGAGUAUGUAUAUCCCAUUUAUGCUUUUCUCUGUUCUGUGAAUUUAUUAAAUGAAAAUUGCUGUGGACUUAUCAUACCUUCUGUUAUUGCCAGCAGUUGAUGAUGCAAGAUUGCUUCUGGGAAUACACUACCAUGGAUUCGGAAAUUGGGAAAGGAUAAGAUUAGAUGAAAGGCUUGGCCUCACGAAGAAGAUUGCUCCUGCUGAACUUCAACACCAUGAAACCUUUCUGCCACGAGCCCCAAAUUUGAAGGAACGUGCUAAUGCACUUUUGGAAAUGGUACUCUUCCAAUUUCAAUAUAAGGGAGUGUAAUUCUUACUGCUUUGGCUAGAGUAGUUCUUACUGUAUUGAAAAAUGAAUUCAUUUAUUUUCUUAAUAUAUGUACUUUACACACGCUCACACACGCAUUUAUAUGUAUAUGUAUUUUCUGUUGUGUUUGCUACAGAUUCCUUCUUUUGAAAAUUUCUUGCUAUAUUUACUUGUAUGCAAAUAUUUUGUUUUUGGUAGAGAAUAACCAAACUGCUUUUUUCUUUGACCUCAUAAGUCAUAAUUGGUUUAUCUGUGUUACUUGAAUUCAGUGUUGGAUACAAGUAUGGGUUUGAUACGAGUAUGGUCUGUUUUUUAAAAGCUUUUCCAUGUAUUUUAAGGAUCAUUGGAGGGGCUUAUAUCCCCUUAUCUAUGUCCGGUGAUGCAUCAGAAAUGGGUACUUCAAGAAAAACAAAGAUUUGGAACAAAAUGGGUUUUUAUUACCAGUGAACCAAAUUAGUGGAAGCUUACAAAUUUUCUAUUGUGUGGUUGAUAUUUCUCUGAUUGUUUAAUGCACAUACAUCAGUGUUUCUUGCAUGCUGUUAUCCUAAGCUUUAAGCUUCUAUUUGUGCUAAUUGUCCAAUUUAAAUUGUCUGGUACUUUCUCCACAGGAAGUUGCUGCAAUCGGUGGUGGUAAGACUGCUAGUACCAAAGCUGGUCGAAAGGCUUCAAAGAAAGAAAAGCAGAAUACUCUUAAGGUAUCAAUAUCUCGUGGAAGAGAUACGAAGGGGAAACCGGGUUCUCCUAAAGUCGGUUUUAAAAUGAGUAGGGACAGUCAUAAGAGGCCUCAGAAAGUUGAACUAGUUAAAGAAGAGGGCGAAAUGUCUGACAAUGAGGGGGUAUAUGAGCACUUUAAAGAAGUGAAGUGGAUGGAGUGGUGUGAAGAUGUUAUGAUUGAUGAAAUAAAAACCCUUCGUCGUCUCCAAAGAUUGCAGACUACCAGUGCUGAUCUUCCCAAGGAUAAGGUUUGCCAAUCUUGUUUUAGAUUUCUUUGGUAUUUGUUAUUGGUUUUGUGAACUGAAGUUGCAUUGAAAAGUUCUACUUCCUUCCAGGUGCUUUCAAAAAUUCGGAAUUAUCUGCAGCUUCUUGGAAGGAAGAUAGAUGAAAUUGUCUUGGAACAUGAAGAUGAGCUCUAUAGACAAGAUAGUAUGUGGUUCUUCUUGCUGUUUAAUUGUGUUUUCUGUUUAUUAGUUUUAUCACGUUUUUGCAUAUGCAUUGGAUCUCUCAUAUGCGCAUUCACGAUUUUAAACAUUUAAAGAUUCUAGAUGUCUGAUAAGUCCAUUUAUUUUGAUUUCAAUUCACGUUGCAGGGAUGACUAUGCGCUUAUGGAACUAUGUCUCUACAUUCUCGAAUCUUUCUGGUGAGAGGCUGCAUCAGAUUUAUUCCAAACUUAAGCAGGAGCGGGAAGAAGAGGGAGGGGAUGGACCCUCCCGUAUCAAUGGUGCUAUACCUGGUCAUGUUGAUAGAGACGGUGACCCUAACUACCCCCCUUUCUCACAUUCUGUUGAGAAGCAAAGAGGGUACAAGAAUGCAGUGGCAUAUCAAACAUCACAACCAAUACACAAAGGCAUUGAUGCUGCAAAGUUUGAAGCUUGGAAACGACGGCGGAGAGCAGAAGGGGAUAUCCAUCCCCAACUCCAGCCCUCGGCUCAAAGACCUACGAACAAUGGUAUCCAAUUGGUAGAUCCAAACUCCUUGGGGAUUCUUGGGGCAGGACCAUCAGAUAAAUGUCUUGUUAAUAAUGAGAGACCGUAUCGGAUGCAUUAAACUGGAUUUCCACAAUGGCAAUGCUUGCCAUGGGGCAUCAACUACAGUAAGCUUUUUGUGCUGUGCUGGAUGAUACUUGAGCCUUUGAAUAUUGGGUGGGAUUCCUUUUUGGGCAUGGAAAUAAAAGUUGGUAUUUAAAGUUGAGUGUUUAUGGGUGGAUUUAAGGAGGUGUAUCCACCAGGCGGGAGUUGAAUCCAUGUAAAAAGUCAGCUGAGCUAAAAAAGGUUUUACUAACAUGUGCAGGGCAUGCCGGAGCGGCCUUUCCACAAUUUAUUCUUUUUACAGUUUCUUUUUGGUAGUGAAUCCAGUAAUUUGUUUAAUUGUAUAGCGCAAAAGUGGCAGGAGAAAAAAAAUUGAAAUGAAUAUGCAAGGAAAAAAGUGUACAUUAUCAUUUUUGAAUAUUUUUAUUUGACAACAUUCAAAUUUUGUUGGCAAUAAUAAUGGGUAUGAGUUUGCUUGCUUUUUUGUUUUACGUUGAGAGGCAGGGGUGGCGUUUUUUUGCUUUAUAAUAGUGGUUUCAGGAAAUUUGUACUUGCUUUACAAUAGAGUAUGUUAUGGUAUGAAUUUGCUUGCUUUAUCCCUUAUUCCCUCUAAUGCACUCGUUUGAGAAUCGAAACAGAAACUUGUGAUUGCCAACACAACCCAAAGCACUGUGAGAAGCUCUCUCCACACAAAAAGUCUUAUUGCAGAUUUUGAUUGGUACAAAAGAAGUGGUAAGAAGUUGGGAUUUUAAUUCUGGAGUCCCAUAUUAGAGACCGAUUCAAGUUCCUUGAGUUCUCCUCCUAUAUCAAACAUUAGAAACCAAUACAGUGAAUAAAGUAAUCAUAUUUAUAUUAGUGCUUCACUCUUACAACAUGUCUUUCUUUGAUGGUGAUGAAUCUUGUGGACUACGCUCGUGCUGUUUUAAAUAACUCCUCCCACUUUUCUGGAUCGGUUCCCGGACCUUCCCCCUGCCACGUAAAUUCAAUAUCUUCAUUUUGGCAAACCAACUUAUCAACCAAAAAUAUGCUUAAUAACUUCUAGUGAGAUUCUAAAAUGAUGUCAGUACCCUCAAACAAGGAAUUCACAUAACUCUACUCAUUUCUCAUCUUUCGAUAAUCACAAUUAGAUUACAGAUUCAAAUCGCACCAUGUUUCGGUUUUAGAAAAAAACCUAAAAUGUAAAUGAUUGCAUGUACGGAAUCCUACACCUGCUAUAACAAAUUGCAGUACUUACCUCAACUGAGUUGAUUUCGUAAAUUUUGCCUUCAGUAAAUUCUAUGUCCAUUGCUUGUAUGCAAGCUUCAGCAACCACAAGUCUGCUUACUUCUCCCACCAGAUUAUCUCCUGUGUCAUUUUCCCCCCCAAAAGUGAAUCAUAUAGACAGCUUAUAAUUUACUUAAUCAUAUGUAUAUGAAUCUGUCUCCAAAGCUUUUGCAUGACUUAAAAUGUCUUUAUGACUAGAAGAGCCGGUCAUAGCAAUUUCACUUGUCAAAUUUAUGUUGUUGGCAGUUACUAUCAAAUCUAUCAUCUUUUCAAUGGUGCAUAAAAACAGCAGUUGAGAUUAAAUUUACUUAAUCUCUAUCAUCUUUUCCAUGGUGCAUAAAAACAGCAGUUGAGAUUAAAUUUACUUAAUCAUUGCUAAUGGUGCAUAAAAAAACAAAAUGAAAAAAUAUAUCAUCUUUUCAAGCAAUCACCAACUUGGUAGGAGGAACAUCUAAAAUAGACACACACAAUGGGAAUGUGUGACACUGUGAAUUCAAGUUCAUUGCCUUGAAACCAUAGAGUAAAGCCAAGCUACUAUAUACCUGCAGUUGAGAUUAAUUUAUCAUAAAUGGAAAGCCAAAACUCGAACUCUAGAUUGCUAAUUCAUAGAGGAUUUCAUAACAUGUUAAAAGGACUACUCAACCUUGAAGCUAGAAAAAGUACAUUAGGGCCUGAAAUAAUAAUUUCUAUGAAAAUCAAAAGGUUAAAGAGUAAUAAUAUUUGUUUUAACAAAAACUGGAUCUAAGGAAAUAAUGCUGAGAAACCAAUCUAAUUUUUGGUCCAAACUGUAAUAGAUAUUUACAGUUUUUCCCCUUUUUGCUACAAAGGAGGCUGCACGCUAUAGAAUAUGAGAAGGGGUUGCCAAUGCUGGGAUUUGGACUCCGACUUUUUGUAUACCACCUCUUUAGGGGUGGCUGCAAGGCAUUUUUACAAUCUAACCUAGUGGGAACUCAAUUUCAACAUACCUUAAUCAAUCAGAACUUUUUAUUGUCUAUAAUUGCUGUUGAAAUACGUUUGACAACUUAAUACAUAACAGUUUUACUAUUUGCGCCACUGGAAAACCUGAUUCAACAUACCUUGACCAAUGACAACUGCACGGCGUUGUCCAGCAGUGGCUUUAAGCAAAGUGUUAAGAUCAUAUGAUGUGUAAGGUCCAUCUGUCAAUCUACCAGCUCUGUGCACAAAAGGGUAUUGUUUGGAGAAACAUUGAAGUACAUCAGCCAAAAGCAUACAGACGCACCAUUUCAUGCUAACAACAGAAAACAUUAUGAUUACGCACGUACCUGAUAAUGGUAAAUGGAAGGCCAGACUCACAAAGAAAAUCUUCCCCUUUCUUUUUAUAUUUUAGAACCCCAAAAAGGUUCAUAAUGCUGCAAAAAUUAAUGUAAAUGUAAAGUUGAUUAGAAGUAGCUGCAAACCAACAUCCCUCAGAUAUUUUGUAGCAAAAACCAGUAUUAAUAGCUGCACAGCAAGAGCGCCACAUUCAAUGGUACUAAAAUUAAGUUCAAUCAUAUCAUAAUUGUGAUUAUUAUAUAUUACUCCUGCAUUCCUUUUUCUUUUUCUCUCCCUUUUUCUUGGAUGGGGAUGGCGAGGGGAGGGGAAGGCAUGAAGCUCUUUCACAAAAAUCAUUCAUACAGUAGAAAUAAUAAUGGAAUUGAAGUUUAAAGCCAAAAGAAAACAGACCAUUAGUGAACAAAAAACAUGUAAUGGCAUUCACUGUUUGACCAUUUGAUUGCUAAUCAAGACACAAUAGCAGUAUGAUACCGAUUGCUAACUAUGUGCGUCAGGUUUUGAUGAAUGGGCAGAAAAUUAGUUUCUGGCUCACUGAGCAUAACAUGCUCCGAGUCCGUGUUCAAAUUGGUUGCAACAAAAGUUCAGAAUUUACAAGACAAGAGUGCAAAUUAUCUACGAAAGAAAGCAUACUCAAUGAUGUGGUAGAACUUGGUAUUGAUCCCUAGUUGAUGAGGCUGCAAGUUCAAUUUUCCAAUAUAGAGGCCUUAAAUAACAUGAUUGAACUAAGAGAUGAUAUUUCACAAUUUUUUCAGCAUGGAAUCCGACAUGAUAUCUCUCUGUUUCACUGAAUUAGAAGUCCAUUUCUUAUAAUACAGAUGGAAAGAAGAAAUAUUCUGGCUGUCAGUAGAAGUCAUAACACUAGCAGAGAGACAGAGGCAAGUCAUCACAAACUCCAUAAUUGACUAUCCAAAAAAUUUUCCAAAUACUUAUUCUUCUCACCUCCAUGGUAGUUCAUUGAACUUGGUUACACCAACUGAUGAAACAAGAACUACUCUCUUCAAUGAUGAAGGCAAUGCAGAUACAAGAUUCCUUACACCCUCCCAAUCUUCAAAAAUAAUACAAAAUAGUCAAAAUCUGUGUCUCUGUGCACGUGUACAUUUAUGCAUCAGUUCAUGUGGAGAGAGAGACAUGAUUGGAAGCUUGGAGGAAAACAUUUUACGUUAUUGAUAGAGCAAUAUCUGAUAAUUUUAAUGACUUUAAGAUUAAAAAAACAGUUUAAAAUUUAUUUGCACAAAAUCAUCGCAUAAUAUAUUUAUUUUUCUAGUAAUUUGCAAAAUAAAGAAAUCAUCAUGCACGAAUUUUUUUUACAUAAAGUAACUUAAAAGGUAAGUGCCAAAUGAAAAGUACAUUUCUUCUUGUACACAAUAACUAAUACAUGCCUCCUUAAUAAAAAGAGAGUUGGAUUCUAAACUUUUUACAUUUAAUAAAUUCAAAUAUAUUAAUAAUUAAGUAAAUUGGCAAAAGUAUUAACCUAUGAGAGGCCAGACUAAAAAAUUUGAUGAAAAAACUUAGGAAAAGUUAGGUCAUAAGUUUGGAAAGGCUAGGAGUGGUCAUGGGCUCCCUAGACCCCGUUAGCUCCAUCCUUAUCCAUGUGCACGUAAACGCACAUGACAUUAUAGAUGCACUAAAGUCAUAGAUAUCAAUAUUGAAAUGACCAAAGCUUGUUCAUCAACAAUUCCAAGUAAAGAGAAUGAACAAGUUAAUGCUAAGUAGUAUGUAUUUAUCAUUACAAAGCAUGCAAUAUUCCAUGGAAAAUGCCAAAGUAGAUGUUGAUAACAGUAUCCAUUAAUUUUCUUUUGUAUAUUCAAGCAGUUUCUGACCUACUCUUUCAGGCGUAUUAUCUCCAUCCCAUCUCUUGGAAGGAAAUGCAGUUGUUCCAGUGCAACAAAUCACAUGUGUAACCCCCUGUACAAAAAAUGUGAAAGAUUAAUACAAAGAUCACAUGUGAAAGAUUAAUUCUGAACUGUUAGAGGUACUAAUGCAACCCAAGAACGGUCAUUUAUCUAGAAAAUAAAAGGAAAAGUUUAAGGUCAGAUAAAUAAGAAGCACAAACCUCAAAUAUAGAUGGAUAUAGAUCUGCUGGGUUUCGAGUGUCCCCUUUAACAACCUAUCAAAUUUUCAAAAAUAUUUUUUUAGAAUAAAUUUAAUAUCCUGAAUAAAGAGAGAAGAAUUUUAAAAGAGAGAAUGCUGUUUACUACAUAAAAUCAAGGAUAUUUUAAGAAACAUAAUCAAUGGGCAUGGUUGAUUCAUUCAUCAGAUGAAAUUCCACCUGUAGCUUCUCUUCAUCUUGGUUACCAAACAGAGAAAUUGCUUUCUCAGGAUCUCUUAAUAGUAGGCGUGAUUUGAUGUUCCGAUUCAGCAAAGAUGCCACUACCAACUGCCCUGAAAAGAAGAGAAAAUUGUUGAUAUUAUGAAAAACAUGUAAAGUUUGACACCGACCACAAGUAAAAUUUAACCAUUCAGUCACUUUGCUCGUGAGUGCACUAAGCCGAAGAAGAAUUAAUCCGUACAUGGUUACGUAUGUUUGUUUUCAUGUUUACCUUUUUCUCUUUGGUUCCGCUUAGAUACAAGACCAAUAAAAUACUUCCAAGUCACUGUCAAGUAGAAUUUGUAAAUGACCUAGAUGAGACUAUAUGUUUUACUCAAAGAGGGAGACCUUCUGCAUCUCCAAAUUUCUUCAACAGAAUGAUUAACUCAAGACUCUUAGGUUAUCCGAUACUAUAGCAUCUAAGACAAGAUUCACAUGUAAGAAUGUAUUGUAUGUGCUUUGGCAUUGUUGAGGAAGUUAUUGGAUCCCUGCUUCAUCAGUAACGAGCAGUGUAGAUCUCGCAUCUGCACCGUACCCUUUGUGAGUUUGAACUAUGUCACAAAAUGGAACUUGCUGUUGCUACUUUAACAUUUACCUAAAGCUCACAAUUAACUCGACUUCUAAAAGCGUGAUUACUUACAGCAUAAUUAAACAGGGAUAAGUUAAAAACAACUGAUACCACAUUGAUAUCAUUGUAUGAGAAGUAUGUUGAACUAAUUUUUAUAUAAAAGGGAAAAAAGAAGAAGAAGCUAUAUGACAUUAUUAUAGAUUAUGGAUCGUGGGAUAACCAAUACAUCUAUAAUGUAACUGAAACAAGAGUUUUAAACCUGUUAUCAGUCAAUGUGCACCGGUGAAAUGAUUUAAAUUUAUGCAUGUUUACCAGAAAAAGAAAAGCUAUUUGGGAUAUGCUUAAUUGAUUAUGGAAUGUGGAACAAUAUCAAUUUGUGUUAUACAUUGGCGUAUAGAAGGGAUUAAAGUUCUUUUGUUGAAUACGGUGCAAUGAUACCAAUUAGAAACAUGGUAACAUGAAAUAUGGAAAACUUUGUUGAUAUUGUGAAUAACAAGUAUACGGAAAUAUGGUAACAUGAAAUACGGUACAAGGAAUGAUAUCAUGAAAUAUGGAAAUAUGAUAACAUAUCUGAUUAUGUAUGGAAAUACACGCAUCUCCUCAUGUCAUUCCUUGUAUGGUAACAUAAAAUAUGGUAAUAAAGAAAAGCAUAAUGUCAAAUUUAGCCCUAAAUGUUUACACCUUUUGUCAUUUUGGCCCUUAUUCUUUUUUGAGCUAAAAUUUGACCCUCAACCUUUUAAAAAGAGCCUUUUAGUACUCAAACAUGCAGUCAAGACAAGUUUCAGUCUUAGUACUCAAAUUAAAUGGCCUUUAAGAUUUUGAUUAAAUUUUUAAUUUUAGAACAUUUAUAUAGUAAUAUAUUUCAAACAAAACGUAUGAUAUGUUUGAAACAGUAAUUAGCCUACUUAACCAGAGCUAUGCAAAAGUAAUUUUCAGAACAUCUGAAACUCAUGUAUGCCAAUCAAAACUAAAUCAAGCUUGAGCUUCUAUCAUGUUUUGCAGUUGAAUUGAGCUCAAACUUUCUGCUAUAUCGACUAACUCGACUUAUCUCUUAUAUAUGACAGAAAUCAGGAAAAAAGAAUCGCCCAAAAAUAUAUCAUUAACUGUAUUAUGUUAUCUUAUAUAGAAGAAGUACGUUAGAAUUGGUAUUAAGUGUAAAAAAAAGUAAAUACUACAAAGAAAUUCACUAAUUGGUAAAACAGGAAAAAAAAAUAACUAAUAAAGUGCAGAAAGCAAAACUAGAGUACUUAAGGUGAGUGACAGAUAGUCGACACCAAUAUUGGCAAUUUUGUUUUCAAAUUAGUCUGUAUAUAUUUGGAAGAUUAUAGCCUAAAUUCUUGUCUAAAUAUGUGACAAAUGAAAAGCAGGAGCAACCACCCAAGUACUUGUUAGUUCAACUUAAGGGGAAUUAAAAAAAAAAUACUACGGAUACUUUCUAAACAUUAAACUAGGCCAAAUGCACAGUUCAAUCAAUACAUUUACAAGUAACAGCUCCAAAUAAGCAAAUACAGUAGAAUUAUACAAAUGCAAAAAAUAAAGGGAAAAAGAAAAGGAGGUGCUCACCGACGCCACCGGUGGCGCCUACGACAAGAACAAGCUUAGAGGAAGAAGGAGGAAUUGUUUGGGAAAGAAGGGUAGUUUCUGAAUUUGAAGACUGAAUUGCUUCAUCUUGCACAGCAUUCACUUUCAUCGAUAAUUGUCCUCUAAAGCCUGAGUUGUUCUUGGAGAAUCCAUACCCAUUACAACAAUUUAGCUGUGGAACUGCCGGUUUUGAUUUUCUUGGUUUUGGGGAUUUCUCUACAGGGAAUCGGAAUGUCAAGGAGAGCUUGGUAGCCAUGAAAAUAUUUUUUUUAAUUAAAAAAAAGAAGAAAAAGAAAAGAAAAGCAGAGGAGCCGUUUGUUUGUGGUGGUUAUAUUUCCCGCUGGUUUAAUAAAAUGUCCGCCAUAUUAUACUUGGAAAAUUCUACAACAGCUACGGCACUAACCCAAAUUUAGAAUGGUUUGUAUUUUGGUUACUCAAUUAUUAAUUUUUUUGAUUUAGUCAUUAAAUUUUUCGAAAUUAAUUUUAGUUACUGUAGUAGUUGUCAUUAGAUGAGUGACGGGAAGCUGAUGUGGGUUUUUUUAUUGGUCUAAUAAUAAAUUUAGCCUUCUAAUAUUUACACAUUUUAUUAAUUUGACUCUAAAUAUAAAAAAAAUCAACAAUUUAGCUUCCAAUGCUUAUAAAAUUUGUCAUUUUAGUUUAAAUUCUAAAUAAUCUAAUAAAAUUAACCCUCAACAACUAUAAAAUGAUAAAUUUUGAUUUUAAAAAUUUAUAAAAAUUCAAUAACUUAAUUACCUUACCAUUACUCACUCAAACAUUUCCUUUGCAUUGAGUAUGGUAAGUCAAUUCCUUUAAAAUCCACGUGAUAGUUACCGGAUGUAGUAAUACGUAUUCCUAGAUACAUCAAAGGUGCUCUUGGGCAAAGUCUACCAUGUGAAGAUCAUACAACUAGACAAAUUAUUGGAUAUUCAGAUGUUGAUUGUGUAGGAUUUCUCUCAAAUAAACGAUCCACUUCAAGGUACUGUGCUCUCUUUGGGGGUCAUCUAAUUUCAUGGCAGAGUAGAAAGUAAGAUGUUGCAGCAAGAUCAAGUGCAAAAGCAGAAUAUCGAGUGAUGGUCUUAGUUACUUGUCAACUUAUUUGGCUAAGACAAUUGCUUCAAGGAAUCUGACGAAGUUAAUAUGCGAUAAUCAAGCAGCCUUAAAUUCGAUGUUUCAUGAAAGAACAAAAUACAUAGAGAUUGGUUGUCAUUUUAUAGGGCCAAAGAUUUAGUCCGGAUGCAUUGUCACUAAUUUUUUCAAUUCAAAUUAUAUCAAUUAUCAGAUAUUUUAACUAAGGAUAUAAAAAACCUCAGAUUGAAUAUAUACAUAAAACAAGUUAUUAGCCUAUUGACUUGUAUGCUGUAACUUAAGGAAAGUGUUGUGAUAGAAAAACUAGAGACAGAUUGUGUAGUGAUUUUAGGGAUUGAUAGACAUGAAAUUAGGGUGUAAAAUGAGGUGUAGAAUCUGUGUAGUCUUAGUCUUUCCUCUUUUGUACAAGUAACUACUCUUCAUGCUUGAGGUAUUGAAUCAAGCUGAAUUUUUAUUUCUUACGUUGUUAAGCCCAAACAACAACUAGUUUCUCUUCUUUCUUCUCCUAAAACAACAACCAUUCUCUCUCAUUCUUUUCUUUAAUUUUUUCAGGUGUUUGUUUAGACUUACGUCAAGUCUUGCAUGUCAUUAUGUUGGUUGUGGUCACGGAAGCCUAAACAUUUUUUCUCUUCAAAUGUGUAGCAAAAUGAAAAGCAAAAUAGAAAUUGUACUGAACUAUGGAUUCAAAUUGAAAAUUUAAAGAAAAAUGGUACAAAUGCCUCGAAUUUAAAAUAUGUUAGUUUUGCUUUGUAAGUGAUUAGCCUUCAAAUUGGAGAGAAAAUGAGUUACGAGGGAAAGGUGAAGUGAAAAUGAAUUGAGUGCUUCUUUUGGGAAAGAUGGGAAAUGACUUGAAGUGUUCAAUCAAUCUUAUGGGCAGUGAUGAAUUCUGGAAUUAAGUUUUGGGAGGGGGUUAGUGUUAUAAUUGUAAAAUAAAUCUAAAAUAAAACUUAAUAAACAGGAUCUAUCAUGUCAAAUCAUCAAGAACAAAAUUAGAUGAAUUCCUUAAAUCUACGGAUCUUGGGGAUUUGAUCUUCUAAAUAUUUGCUCUCUCUUUCCCAAGGAUUGGAUAUUAGAAAAGAUACAUGUAUGUAAUUUGGAGACCAUAACCCUACUAUUUAUAACAUUGGCAUAUUAGUUCUAACUCCUAAUUAGCCCAUCAUUAAUUAGAAUUUGAUCAGAACUCAAUUACUAGAAUAUCUACAUAUAUUUGACCCAUACUUUAUUUAAUAAUUAAAGCCUAAUAAAAUUUUAACCAAAUUAGAUCACUUUUAAUUUGGGUUAACCUAUCAUGAUAGUAAAUAAUAACAUGUAAUUACCCUUAUUAUAUAUGUGAUGUCCAUAUUUUCCAACAACCUCCCACUUAGACCACAUAUAUUUACUAAUUACUCUAUAAUUACAUGUCAUUAUAUAACCUUAUGAGCUCAAGAUUUUACUAUCAUAUCCAAAAGGUAUUCCGAACAAUCUCGUCCAUUAAUUAUGUUAACAUAGAACCAAGACGACUUUCAUUACAUAUAUCGUAACUAAAUCCAUCCCUAAUCACGUAUAUUAACACAACCAAAUGACAUAGAUCAAGUAUGGAUGUAUAGCAUGGAAAUUACAUGCAAUAUGAUCUAACAUGUCUAUUUCCAACUGGUCUUUCUUAAACCUUAGUGAGAUCAAACCUUACCAAAAUUAGAGUGUGAAUAAACCAAAUAAAUUUUAUUUCUGCAGAAAAUAAACUUAGUAUCCAUAAACUGAAAUAACUAAAAAUGUGUCUAUAACAUAAAAGCAUUUAAAAGUACAAACUCCCACAAAAUCAAAUAUUCUUAAAUGACAUUACACUCAUAUGAGCAAUGUGCUCUUAUAAAACCUUAAGUGUAGUCCCUUAGUAAAUGGAUCCGCAAUUAUGGAGUUUGUCCUAAUAUGCUUUAUAGGCACCUAACCACUCUGAACUUUUACUUUAACAACUAGGAACUUAAAGUCUAUGUGUUUUAACUUUGAUGUGCUCCUGUUGCUAUUGUAAUAAAAGACUGCAAUUUGUUUUCACAAUAUGCACCUUAGUGACAAAAUCUUGUAUUCAUAUUCCAUCAAAAUCAAAGUCUGUAUACCUGAUGAUCUCUAACUGAUUAGACCUCCGAUAUGUGAGCAUGUAAUAUUCUGUUCUCUAAAAAUACCUUAUAACCCUCUUGGAUGCUAUCUAAUGGUCCAAACCAGGGUUGUUUAAAAUAUCUGCCUAACAUCCCAACAGUGUACGUAAUAUUCCAAUGUAUACAAACCUGAACAUACAUUAGACUUCCCACUACUAAAAUGUAAAAAAUCUUAUGCAUUUUUGUAAUCUCAAAAUCUUAGGGCAUUGAUUGAGACUAUACUUAUUAUUGACAAGCAAUAUGUCAUUAACAUAUAAAACCAAAUAUAGAACCUUACUCCCACUAAACUUAUGGUAUAUAAAAUUAUCGAAAAAAUUCAUCUCUAAACCGAAUGAGAUAAUCAUUUGGUAAAAUUUGUAAUAUUAUUGAUGAGAAGUACGUUUAAACUCAUAGAUGAAGUUCUUUAAUUUGCAAAUAAUUAACUUUGCAUCAUCAGACACAAAGUUUUCUAGUUGCACCAUAUAAAUGCAUGAUCAAUGUUACCAUUGAGAAACCAUUAACUUAAUAUUUAUCUAAUGCAGUAAGGUCAAAAUAUUCCACUAAAGUCAUUAUAACCUUUCCACUAGUGGACCUUUUUAAUGACAUUCAUUCUUGAGGUUGUUGAGUUUGUCUUUUGGAACAAUUAUCUAAUCUUGAAAAGGGAGUUGUUCAACAUUGUCUUAUUGAGGUUUUAGAUUCACUUCUUAAUCAAUGAUAGGUAUGGGAACCUAAACAUCAUCAAAAGUGAUAGUAGGAAUUGAGUUAGAAUUCAAUUCCUCCUUAAAAGCAAUGUCUCUAACCUUAUUUCUCCCUCUAAACUCAACAUCCUAAAAGAAUGUUGCAAUUCUCGUCUCAAAAAUAUUCCUAAUUGUGGGAUCAUAAAACUCAUAUCCCUUAGAUCACUCAGAAUUUCCUUGACCCUUAUACUUUAUAGACAUCAAAGAAGUCAGAAAUUAUGUCAUUUCAACCUUAUCGUUUUUAGCAAAACAUUUCUCAAUUUCAUCAAGGAAACCUUGGCCUGAGUAAUCAUUUCAGAUUUUGUGCCCCUAAAGCCUUCUAAAAUGUUGUCCUUCAUGAUCAUUAGACUCAUGCAAUUUGAACGAUCCCACCUCUCAAAAUCUCUUUUAACAUAAGGGGUGUUUUCGGCAGUGAGAGGUGCGAGUUGUUUUUCCCUUAGUGCAAUGUCUAUGUUCAUACAACCAAGCACUAUAAGUAAAUGCCUUUUUCGUUCAUUGAAAUUAGUCCCAUUAAGUAUGGGUAUAGAAUUUAUAUUAGCAUAUAUUAUGGUAGUAGAAGAUGAAUUAGCUGAAUAUAAAACAAAUAAAAAUAAAAAUAAGCUCACAUCAAUAUUCAUAAGUAAACAAUAAAUUCAGGAUAAUGGCUAAUCUCAUAUCAAGAUACCAAACACAACAUUAAUAUCAAGUCUUUGGACAAUAAUAUUAACAGUAAGCAAAACUCUUGUUGUAACAAUCAAACAUUGACAAUAAAUUAUGUCAAAUAAUGAAUUAAUCUUUGGACUAACAUAUUGCUCACAUAAAGCACCUUAUAAUUGUCACACAUUUAUCACCACAGAUGUCGUUGAAAUUCUGUCAAAUAUUAACUUACCUUUGGGUCAAUUAAUAAAUGCAUGAAUCACAAAAACAUAUAAUCAUAUUGAUAUUUUAAAUAAACUAAUCUACACAAAAGAUAUCACUUUGGCGGCAUUUUGUUUCAACUAAUCUAUUUAAAAUAUUAGACAUCCUUAAUUAAAACCUAAAGCCAAAAUCUGAAUUUAUUUGUUUCAAAAUAUUUCUUUUAAUUUCAUCUUUCAAUAAAAUUAAAAGAUAAUAAUAUAUAUAUGCAUAUAUAUAUUUAUCCCAAAACAACAUACAAUGAUGUUGGCAAAUAUAAUAAUAGUUGAAUAAAUCAUAAACCAUAAAUAAUCUCACAUAAGACUUCAAAUAAACCAAAAUAAUUUGAAUAAAGGUAAACCUCAUAUCAAGAUAUCGGGCACUCUAUUAGUAUUUUAUCUUUGGACAAAAUAUUAACUUGUAAGUGAUAUAUUGGUGUAAUAAUCAAAUAUUGACAGUAAGAACAUGUCGAACCAUAAAUCUUCUUUUGGGCCAAUUUAUUGCUUACAUGUAAAACCGAAUAAUUGUCACAUGUUUAUUACCAUAAUUGCACAUGAAAUAUUAUUAACCUUCAUUUGGGCCGAUCAAUAUUAACAUAACUUAAGUUACACGCACACAACCUUUUAUAUUUUAAAACAAAAUAAAUUUUAUACAAAAAAAAUCACUUUGGUGACUUAUUGCUUCAAUUAAGUUAUUUAAAAAAUAUAUAUAAACAUAGAAAUAUUCAAAUUUAAAAUUUACCCAAUAGUCAAAUGUCAAAACUAUUUUUUUAUUGCUUUAUAAACUCCGAAAUAACCCAAAAUAAGGUUGUCUUAAUAAUACAAUAAAAAACCGAAAAUUUUAAUCUUUGAUUGAUUUUUUUGUUGUUCCAAAAUCACAUAUAACAAAACCAAACAGAAAUAAUGUACUGGUUUAAAGCCAAAUAAUUAACAAGCACAUUUAUUCAUAAUUUUGGCAUGGACAAAAACACCAAAGCAAUUCACGCAUAUACAUGUAUCCAUAAUCAAAUAGAAAAAAAUUACCUUAAAUUUACCAUCUAAAUCAAAAGUUGUAUUUAUGAUUAAACAGAUAUUCACAUGAAUACUUGAAAAAUAUUUUCAAGCGAAUAAAUCUAAAAAAAAAUCAUAAUAGUUGGCAUAUCCCACAAUUCAUACAAUAAACCAUAUCAUCAUAAUUUAACCAAAUAUUUGGAACCAUAAGAUGCCAAAACCUAAGAUUAUUGAACCAAACUUAAAACCAAAAUAUUUAAAUAUGCAUAUAGUUGACAUGAAUUUGCACCAAAGCACCCAUAAAAUUGAAUAUAUAACCAUAACAAAAAAAAAACAACUUCAACGAUAUCCAUCAAAACUUAAUUUUACCAAUUAAACUAUAAAAGAUGUUUUAUUGAAUAAUGGUUAUAAACACCUAUUCACAUAAACUAUAAUAAUGCAUUAGUCCUCAAAAUCAUUAAUAUGCAUAUAAUAUAUAUACACACAUAAUAUACACACAAUUAUAAUAAUAUAAAAAUAAUACUGGCUUGCCUUACAUAUUUCAUAUAAACUCGAAUUUCUAUUCAUGACUAAAGACAUUAUCAUAAAACUUCUUUAUACGUACAAAUAUUUUUAAAGAAAAUCCAUAACCACUAAAUAUAAAAAGAAUCCAAAAUUAUAUAAAAGCCUUUAUAUGCGCAACUACUUAUGAAAAUUCAUACCCACCAUAUUUAAAAAAUAAAUCCCAAAUAUUUUAAUUUUAGUCAGGUUCCAUAAGGAAUAAAACUUAUAUAAAAUAAUUAUAACAGAAACCAAAAAUAAUCAUCCGUAUAUAUGAAUUGAACUAAAUGGUGAAUAUAAUUCAUUAUGAAUAAAGACGAUGAUAAUUCCAUAUACAUUCAACCACAAACAGAAAAUUUAAAACAGAUAGUGCGAAAAAAAAAUAUCUUACCAACAUUCAUUUAUUCGAUUAUUAAGUGAAUUAACUUUCAAAACCAAUUAUACAACCCAAUUGAAAUUCUUCAAUCGCAAAAAGUUGUAAGUUUGUAACUUUAAUUUAAUAAUGACUUUAACAAAAAUUUAUAAAAUAAUUGUGUGAAAAGAAGAGAAAGAAAUCUCACAAAUCAAUUUUUAUCAAUUGAUUAUAAAUAAAUAAACAUUCAUCUUUCGAAUAGCAUAUGCAAAUAUUAAACUAGAUUAUAUUUAUAAAACCCUAAAACUUUAUUUAAAAAAUCAAAACCCAAAAAUUUAUCAGGAAUCUCAAAGAUUCAACAUAAUAUAUAAUUAAAAUAUCAAAUCCAUAGAAUUAAAAAAGAAAAAACGAAUCAAUUCAUUCUCAAUAAUUCAACAUGACAAAACUCGGAUGCCACUUGUUAUAAUUGUAUAAUAAAUCUAAAAUAAAACUUAAUAAACAGGAUCUAUCAUGUCAAAUCGUUAAGAAUAAAUCAAGAACAAAAUUAGAUGCAUGAGCGUACCUGAAUCCAUGAAUUCCUUAAAUCGACGAAUCUUGGGAAUUUGAUCUUCUAAAUAUUUGCUCUCUCUUUCCCAAGGAUUGGAUAUUAGAAAAGAUACAUUGUAUGUAAUUUGGGGCCCAUAACCCUACUAUUUAUAACAUUGGCAUAUUAAUUCUAAUUCCUAAUUAGCCCAUCAUUAAUUAGAAUUUGAUUAGAACUCAAUUACUAGAGUAUCUACACAUAUUUGACCCAUACUUUAUUUAAUAAUUAAAGCCUAAUAAAAUUUUAACCAAAUUAGAUCACUUUUAAUUUGGGCUAACCUAUUAUGAUAGUAAAUAAUAACAUGUAAUUACCCUUAUUAUAUAUGUGAUGUCCAUAUUUUUCAACAGUUAGUAUAUUUUUCAAAAUUUUUAAGAGUUCAAUGACAACUUUUUUUUUAAAGAUUAAUGAGAAAUGAAAUUUUUUAAAAAUUAAUUUGAGAUCCAUAUUCUAAAAAGUUCAAAGGAAAACUCAUAAUUUCUGAAAGUUUUGAGAGUCAAAGCCCCCUAAACCUUUUAAACAGUCUGUCAUUUCUUACGGGUAACUAAGUGAUUAGGUUAGAUAUUUUUAAAUUUCUUUUAUCAUAGCUUAACCCGAGCCUUAUAUCAUAAUUAAGUUAAUAAGACCUAAUGACCCUAGGCAUUAAUUCAAAAUCAGAAAGGUAUAGACCCGACAAACUAUCAAACAUAUCAACUGUUGACUCCAUUAAUUGUUGGAACAUUUUUAAAAUAUAUAUAGUGGUUUAAGUUUGCAAAUAAAAAGUUAUAAGUAUUCAAAAGUUAUAUCAUUUUGUUAUUAACCAUAAGUUGUCACUAUUUAUAGUGAUGAGUUUUGUCUCUUAAAUUCAAAAGUUAUGUUACUUGAUUAUUAACAAUUAACCAUAAUUAUUCAAUAAAUAUCCCUAUGGAGAGACAUGAUACCUCCUAUAAAUAGAAGUGAAAUUUCAUUUAUAUGACGUACCUAAAAACAUAGAAACAAAGUUUAUUUCUAUUUCUCCUAUCAUCUUUUAUAUUCUUAGAUUGUUGUAUAAAGAAUUGUUGCAGAAAUUCUUUAUAGAAAUUGAUAUCAUUGCUAUACUCCGCUCAGUGCUCAAUGCACUGUUUCCGUCAAUGCAGAACGCAAAUAGUCAUCGGGCUUCAUUGUAUCCUCGAGGUUUAUUUACUUGAAACUUAUUUGCACACCAAGUGUAAGUGGGAGUGAAUAGAACCUUAAAGAUAGUGGCUUGAUACACACCUUGUAGCAUUGUCCUAUUGCUUCGUUUUUUUUUUGUUCGAGUUAUUGUUCGUAUUCUGUUUGUCUGUUGAAAGAUCAUGGACAUACAAGAACUUAAGCAUUCAUAGCCCUAACUCUGAAUAUGGUUGAACUAUGAUUAUUUCAUCUGAGUCACUUUAGCACUAUUGUAGUAAUUUUAGUUCAUUGAUGAACUUUUAAUUAAUUGAGGCUUUACGUUAAAUUAAAUGAUUCUAGACGAAAAAAAGUCAUGUAUUAAGGGUCGUUUUUAUUUGUAUGUGGUGUGUUUAGUGAUUUUUCUUGAAGACAAGCUAAAGGGUAAGUGUAGUAUAGUUAAUAAGUGUAUAUUUGUGACAUAUUUUUAGGUGUUUUACGCUUAGUUUUUGCUUCUUUUAAAGUGAGAUUACUUAGGUUUGGUGUCAAUUUGGUGUUUUGUUUCAUUUGGUUUUAUGAUAAUUUAAAAAUAUGCAUUUUGGUCUAAUUUUUAGCUUAAAUAAAUGUCGUUAAAUAGGUUUUUCUCCUAUUUGAAAUCAUGGCUGGUGGACAACAUGGAGAAUAAAUUUGGCUUUUGGUUUGAGGACUCUUUGAAUGGGAAAUAAUAUUUGCAAUUGUAUGUUGGAGCGUCCAGAAGGCUCGCAAUAAUUUCGUGUUUAAUCAAGAGGCAAUUGGUUUAGACUGGCCUUGGGCAAAAAGCAUCAGAAAGGCAGUUGUGUACGCAUCUAAAAGGUUUAGAUGUGAAGCUAACAAUGAGGGGUAGCAACCGCCGCCUUGCAGGUGGGUUAAGGUGAAUGUAGAUGGGGUAUAGCAGGAGUAACUUAAGAGCGUCUGCGAAGGGGUGUCGUUUAAGACUGCCGAGGGAACUGGAUGGUUGGUUACUGCAGGGAUGUGGGAAUUUGCGGCGUAUUGCAAGCUGAAUUUUGAGCCAUUCUUGAUGGAUUAUUGUCAUUGUGUGCUCGUGAGCCUAACAGUGCCACAGCAGUAGACGUCCUUAAUGACUGGGAGCAUGAAUUGAGAAAACUUUCCUAGGCGCGAUGCAUUAUCGAAGUUUAUUGAACUUUCCUAGGAGGUGUGGUUGCAGUGCAUUCAAAGAGAUGCUAAUGUAGUUUCUGAUUUUGUUACAAAGCAGGGAAUGAACUCGGUCCUGGAUAGACAUGCUUGGAUGGUUAAUUGUGAUGUUUACUGGUGGUAUGAAGUAGGAAAUGCUUUAAUUUGAGGAAUUAUGUAAUCGUUUGUGUUAGAUCAAUGAGUUUAUAAAAUGUAUCCAAAUAGCUUAGCAGCACUGCGAUUGGGUAAUCUGAAAUCCAAAGAAACCUUUGGAUAUAUUUUCAGACCCAAUUAUGUGUGGAAUAUUAGAUAUAGCCCAUGUCCUAUUGCAUAUUCAAAAGAAUCAUACUUCCCUACUCGUAUAUUUCAGACAUGGAGAAACAAAGGUGCUUUCUGAUAAAUUGAACUUUAGUGAUGUUGAUGCACAUGCAACGCUCAAACUGCAUGGAUCCAUAUCUAGUUGCACUUUGUUGUCAUGUCAAAAUAUCUUCUUUUCCAUCUCAUUUGAUCUCAUUCAUUGUUUCAUAAAAUUUUCAAAAAGAUGUGUUGAAGAAAGGCGCAGGAGAAGAUUGUGUUGUCAAAUGAAUUGAAUGCCAAUCAAACUUUCUUCAUUCUUCAAUCAUAUUGCCGACCAGACCGUAGACAGAUUUGAAGUCUACAACUGUGGAAAACACAACAACUUUCCUCAUACCUUUGAUGCCGACACACUCAAAUGGGGCAACCUUAAACACAUGUUUAUGAGUUGGAGCCACCCUUUUUUCUUAUAGGCGGACGGUGGUGUUUGCUUUUAUCUUUCUGCUACUGCACUCUUCCGGGUUUAGGGUACGGUUUAGUCCAUCAAUCUUUAACAGUUGAUGCCAUUUUAUAAACUCCAACCCUCAAACUUUAAAAAUAACAUUAAUAAAAAAAUAACUAUGGGCUCUAAAUAUAAACAAUAAAAUAGGCAUCACUAUACAAAGGAAAUGCAUUAAUUACUUAAAAUUUUUCGGGUUAAAAUAUAUGUUCAAUCACAUUAGUAUUCACCCAAUUAUGACAACUAUGAUUUUUUUCUUUUUUUGAUUAUCCAACUAUAACAAAAUAUUCACUAAACUAUUCAAUUGUCUUUUUUGGAUUUUUUAGUACUUCUAAUUUUAUGUUUGUCAACUAGUAAAAAACAAAACAUAAUUGAAUAGGUUAGUGACCAUCUUGUAAUUAUUCAUAGUUGAAUGACAAAAAAAAAAUCAUAGUUGGGUGUAGAGGUGUUCAUGGGUCAAGUUGAGUUCGGGUUGGGCUCAACCAAAAUCUUAAACCCAUUUGCUAUGCCCGGGCCCAAAAAAUGAGCCUAAAAUUUUGUCCAAAUUUGUCCCUGAUAAAAAUGUUAAAACUUGGGCACGACCCGCCAGUAUUAAUUUUUAUAUAAUAUUUAAAUAUAUAUAAUACAUCAAAAAUACUAAAAACAUUAAAAUAAAUAUUUCCCAACAAAUUGGAAAUAAAUUUAAAAAAAAUAUGUAUACUUAAAUAGCCUCUAAAAUAAUAACAAAAUUAAUAAUAAAACAACUGUUAUACAAUAUCUAAACAAUAACAAUAAAAUGGUAGUAAAAUAAAGAGAAAAUAACAAUAAGAUAUUAUUAAAACAACAAAAAGUAACAGAUUUUUUUACCCUCUUGUGAAUUUGGGCCAAGCCUAGGCCAAAAAUGCCUUACUCAAGACUCGACCGUUUUUUAAAUGGACCUCCACUUUUCGGGUGGGCCAUGAACAGGUCUAGUUGGGUGACCUCUAAUGUAGUUUACCCAAAAUAUACUAUAAGCCUUUGUAGUUUUCAAAAUUUUAGAAUUUAGUCCCUAUACUUUUAUUUUUAAGAAUUUAAUUCCUCUAUUUUUUCAAAUUUUAAAAUUUAGGUCCAACUGUUAACACUAUCAAAUUUUCUUGUUAAAUUUGAUGGCAUGACAUUUUGAUUUGAAAUUAAAAAAAAAAAACUCACUUGGUAGCCAUGUAAUUAAAAAAAUUACAUUAUAUGAACUUUAGUUUAACCUAAAAAAAAAAUAUUAACAGUUGGAUCUAAAUUUUGAAAUCUGAAAAGUAAAGGGACUAAAUUUCUGAAAAUGAAACUACAAGGACUAAAUUCCAAAUUUCCAAAUCUAUUUAUUGCUUUCUUUCAAAACUAUUUGUUUUGGCUCAAUUAUGAUUUGCUUUAUGUUAAAGAUGCAAAUCUUUUCAGAGAUAUGUAGAAAAGAAAAUUCAAGAAUAAACACAUGGAUUGUAUAAAAUGGAAAAGGAUUCAAGCAAAGAAAUAAAAUAGAUUUAAUGCUGUUUUGUUUCACUUGUAAAAAAGAAGGCAUUUUCAUUUCAGUUUUGUCUGGAAGUGGGAGCACAAAGACAAACAUUGAAGGCGAAGCGAAAGAAGCCAAACAUAUGUUCCAUCGGCAUCAACGUAAGAUACAACCAAAUUAAUUAUAAAGACGGCAAAGCCUAACCAUUUGGUCACUUUUAUUUGUAGUUUUCAAUUCUGGGUAUUGCUUUUUUCUUCAUUCCAAUUUUUGAGUUGAAAACGAUGUUUGAGAUUUCAACCAUGCCUUUUACUUACCAAACUCUCCCUUUCUAAUUUCUUUGCUCCAUUUUGACGGACCUUUCAAUUAAUAUAUUCCUACAUUUCUUGUAAACAACUCCAAUCUCCAAAGACCAUUAUUUUGGAUCUUUUAUGCCCAUCUCUCUUUCCGACCACAUUGGUUUUAUUGCCAAUCACCUCUUUUUUCUUUAUUUCUUUAUAUUUCAUGUUAUUUUUUUCAAAACUGAAUUAUAAGUACAUGACCCACUAACCACAAGUAUUUGAGUAAUCAACAGGUUAAGAAUUGACACCGUCCAGACUAAAACCAACAAACUGAGACUAAUUGGACUAAGACUCUCUGAAAUAAUGGCACUCAAAGAUUUACACGUAUAAUUGAUCAUGAUAAGUCUCAAACAUGGUUUAGGCCGGAUAGAUACAAAAUUUUAGGCUUGUUUUCUAAGCCCAGCUCGAAAAAUGGGCCUAAAAUUUUGUUUAAGUUCAACCCGGAUUAAAAAUGCUAAACCCAAGCUAGAUCCGGUCCACUCGUACUAAUUUUUUUAGAUUAUUUUUAUAUAAAAACAAAUUUUAAAAAUAUAAUAUAUCAAAUACACUAAAAAUAUUAAAAUAAAAGUUUUCCAAAAAAUUAAAAAUGCAUUAAAAAGUCUUUAUACUUAAAUAACACUAAGAUAGUUAUAACUUAAUAAGCAAAUACCUUUAAAAUAGUAGCAAGAUUAACAAUAAAACAAAAGUUAUAUAAUAUUCAAACAAUAACAACAAAAUGUGUCGAAAUAAAAGCAAAAAAAUAACAAAAUGGCAACAAAACAGCGGCAAAAAAGAAGUUUAGGUUGAUUCAAGCUGAGUUCGGGCAAAAAAAAAUCCAACUCGAGGCUUAAUCCGUUUAAAAACGGGCUUUAUUUUUUUGUCUAAACUCAUUUUUUAAAACCCUCCUAUUUUUUGGAUAGACCUCAAGCCAGAACAAGUCACCCAACCCAUGAUUAAGUUUACUCAAUAUUCAAAACCUCCACCUUUACUGAAGAAUAUUUAUUAUUUAAAACAUGAUAAUUAUUAAAAAAAUUAUUUAAUGGAUUGUUAAUUCACAAAAUUAUUUGUUUGGUAAAUUAUAUAAUGUUAUUUAUUAGUAAAUAAUAUUUUUAAAACUUACCUUUACUUAUUAAUAAGAUGAAGCGUUUCUUUUGGAUGUAUAAUUACAAGUUACAAUAAAUUUAGAUAAAAUUUUCAUAAUAAAUUCUAAAUUAAAAUUUUAUACAAAAUAAAAUUCGAAUCUAAAUAUUAAAAAAAUAAUUUUAGCACUUUUCCACGUCUAUAAACUGUAAAUAUAAUUAAGGAACUGGAUACGAAUCAAUUUGGUGUUUAAGUGAUGAAUCCAUUAACAUAAUUAAUUAAUAUUAUAUAUUUACAAUGAUUUUCCCCCCUUAUAUUUUAGUUUCUAAUAAUGUUGUUUUAAGAUAAAUAAAGUUUUAAUGAAAAUUAGAGAGAUUCGACAAUUGGUAUGUAAAAAUAAAAUUAGAAAUGGCUUUUUUUUUCGUUAAUUAGAAAUGACUUUUAAGAUGGGAUCCAUUCUCUGUUUUUUUUUUUUUUUUAAUUGUUGUCUUGAUUAAAAAAAUCAACGGGUUUGGUGGCCCAUUGGCCUGAUCGCAGGAGCGUGGCCGAAGGGACCGUCCCCUAGUUAAAUGGGAAAAUUUCUUUUUAGUCCCUCCUCAAAAUUAAAAGAUUCAAUUUAAGGUUUUUUUUUAAACUUUUGAUUAAAUGAAAAAAUAUAUAUAAUUUUAAUCGUUUGGAAAAUGUAAUAAUUUAAUUUAAGCUUUUCUAGUACAAGAUUUUUAGCUUUGGUCUCCCAGAUUUGAUAAUCUUAUCUCUCUCUUAAACAAAAUUUUUUAUUUUACUUGAUGAAUCUGUCAAGUUCAAUUUAGAUCGGAUUUGAAUAAAAAAAUUUUAGUUCAUGAGUGAAUUUUAGACUUAAUGUUUUAUUUAAAUUUAAUUAUAAAAUAGAUAAAUUUAAAUAAAACUUUAUUUUUUAAAAUAAUAAUAUGAAUUUUUUCUUGUUUAAAAAAAAACAAAAGAUAGGGAAUAUAGGCUUGACCUAUUGUGGGUGAACACUUUAGGCUAGUAGUUGUAAUCUCUGCCUGAAAGAUUUGCUCCUAUCUUUAAAUUUUCUAAUUAAAGUAUUGUUUCAUAGCAAUUCAUUAAUUGUAUUGUAAAACGUGAUUAAAAUAAAUGACACGACAAUUAAAAGAGUUUUUUUUUUUAAAUUGCAAGAAAAUAAAUGUUAGUUCCAAACUCCGUUUGAAUUUACCAGAAUAUUUUACAUAAAAAUGAUGCUUUGUACUUGUUCACUAAUGCUAUUCACGUGGGAGACUGUAUGUCCUCAUAAAAGAAGGUUGAAUUUUCAAUGUUACCUUCGACUUAAUAUUUAAGUAUUUUCAUUGGUUAUUUAUGGCUCCACUGCUAUUUAUUUUACUCACAAAUGUGUUUAAAUUCUAUCUAGAGUAUAGGUGAAGUAUUUUUAUUCUAUGACACCUGCUCUCAACAAAGCAAACCCAACUCUCGUAAACUUUUAUACCUAUUCUUUUAGGUGAAAAUAGUUGGGUAUUACAGGCUAUUAACUAUUUUAUGAUAAAAACGAGAGGAGAAAACUCAAUUUUUGAGGUUUCAUGGUUGAACACGAAAAGUCCUAUACUACCACUGAUUCUUCAAAACAUGGUUAGCAAAUUAAGAUAGGAUAACUUCAAACUAUACCAACUCUCUGGCAAAAUUAAAUAUGGAGUUAUUACCUGUAUUUUACAGCUUUUCUUCUCUUAGUUAAAUUUUAUUUUUAGUUUCUCACUUGAAUUCUGAUUACUGUAAGUUAUUUUAAUAUUAGUUUUUCACUUAAACUCUAAUUAGUGCAGCUUAUUUUAAUAUUAUUUGACCUACAAAUUUAGCCUAUAAAUAUGUAUUUUUUCCACCUAAGAAAAAUAACUCAUUACACAAUUAUGUAUUAGUUUUUACAAGCUUUUAGAGAAUUUUGUAUUUACGUUUUUGGGGUUCUUAUUUUGGGUUUCGAGGCUUAGUUUUAUCUCCAUCUUUUGCACUAUUCAUUUUUGCCGUUUUAUUGAAAUUAUCUUUGCUCGUAGUUUUUUAUCCUCUUCGAAGGAGUUUUUCCACGUAAAAUAUUUGCGUUCGAUCUUUUCAAUUUCUUCUUUAUUUUACAUGUUUGUUGCUUAAUCAUCUUUAUCCCCAACGAACUAGUAUCAGAGUUAGUUCGAUUUCCACAAUCAACCUAUUCAGAGAUGGAAACAACAAGGUUUGAUAUUGAUAAGUUCGAUGACAUCAUAAAUUUCAAUUUGUGGCAAGUUUAGAUGACAGAAAUCCUAAUUCAGGGCGAUUUUAAGAAAGUUCUUACAAAGAAGAAGCCUACAGAAUGGAUAAAUCAUAAUGGGGUAGGUUAGAUAAAAUUGUUCUAUCCACGAUUCAAUUAUGUCUAAUAAAUAAUGUGUUGCGUGAGGUUUUGAUGGAGAAAAUGACAUUCACCUUAUGGAAAAGGUUAGAAACCCUCUACACGACUAAAUCUCUUGCUAACCGAUUAGUGCUGAAACAACGGUUGCACACAUUCUGCAUGAACGAAGGUAAGCAUCUUAGAGAUCACAUUAGUUAAUUUAUUACUCUUUUGAAUGAUUUAAAGAACGUUAAGGUUCAGAUCGACAAUGAAGAUCAGGCUCUGAUAUUCUUGUGCUCUUUACCCCCAUCAUACAAGUCCUUCAGGGAGACCCUAAUAUAUGGCAAAGAUAAUCUCUCAUUUGAGGAUGUGAAGGGUUAUCUAUCAAGCAAAGACAAACUCGACAAUGAGUUUGGUUCGGAUAGCAAGUCAGAUAGGUAAGCUUCGAUUUUGGCAGCAUCAAGGAAGCGAGACAAGAUAUGUCGCUAUUGUAAGAAAUGAGGUCACGUCAUGACAGAUUGUUACAAAUUGCGAAAUAAAAGGGCUACUAAGAGCAACAAGGAAGAUUUAGCUUGUGCUAAUUUAACCAAUGGAAACGGUGAUGAUUUCUUAUUGGUGUCAACAGGUGAAAGCUCUAAUCUUACAUCCAAGUGGAUCAUGGAUUCAAGGUGUUCUUUACACGUGUCCCAACAUAAACUGGUUCUCCACAUACAGUUCAGUUGAACGUAGAGUUGUACACAUGGGGAAUGAUUCAUCCAAUAAAGUAAUUGAUAUUGGUACUGUUCAGAUCAGGAUGCACGACGUGACAAUUAGGACACUGUCAGAUGUCAAGCAUAUGGCUGACUUAAAGAAAAAUCUCAUUGGGAAUUUUGGUCUCGAAGGUUUGUAGAAGUAACAUCGAGUCAAGCAACAUUAAGGUAUCAUGUGAGGCUCUCGUUUUGAUGAAAGGUAAAAAGAUUGAUAGUCUUUAUGUUUUGGAAGGAUCAACAGUGACCGGUGAAACAUGACUUCCCUCGUCUGUUAAGGAGUUGAAGUCGACUUGUUUGAAGCGUAGACAACUUGGUCAGAGGAGGGAAAAGGGUAUGAUCGUUUUGUAUAAGAGAGGUUCUCUUUUGGGUGCAGGUUUUGAAAAGAUAAGGCACUGCGUUCGCGGAAAUCAGACCCAAGUCAGUUUUGAUUUGACAAUACACAAGUCGAAGACUAGAAGUCUUCCAACGUCUAAGCAUAACUUUGACUCAGUUAAUAUUCUACAUAGUUCAAGAUAAACCUGUGGCGGGAUUUGGAAAAGAAAGCAUUGUGGAAAUACGAGUCAAAGUGGAGAUCUGUGGAGUUAUGUCUCGUAUUUUUCGGCUUUUCUUCUUCCAGUUAAAUUCUAUUUUUAGUUUCUCGCUUGAAAUUUGAUUAGUGUAGGUUAUUUUAAUAUUAAUUUUGCACUUAAAAUCUUAUUAAUGUAGGUUAUUUUAAUAUUAUUUGACCUACAAAUUUAGGCUAUAAAUAGAGGCCCUUCUUCCACCUUAGAAAAAUAACCCAUUACACAUGUAAGUAUUAGUUUUGAUUAAAUGCUAAAGUUACAUAUUUUAUGUAAUUAAAUUGGUUAAUUUAUGAGAAUGCACCACUAACUUUGCCAUAUUUAUUGAAUUUUGUGCAGGAAUGCAAUUUGGGGGCUAAGUAGAAGAAAAAGGGAACAAUUGGGCCAAAUUAAAGAAAGAAGCAAAGAAGGAGGGCCAAAGUAGAAUUUUUCCUAUUUUAAUUAGCUGAAAAUUUUGUUGAAUUAGUGGGGGAGAUUAUUUUGGGAUAUUUUUGGUCAUGGAAUAUUUUUUUUCCUUAAUUUCCUAUGACUAGUUGGUUCCUAAUUUAGUAAAUCCUCUAGUAUAAAUAGUGCUUGUAUUGUUCAUCAUUUCAUCAAUCAAAAAAUAUUUUAGCUUUUGUCUUUCAAUUCUCUCCUUUCUCACGUAGCCUUUGUUAUUUCUUAGCUUGCUUUCCUUCAAUUUUUAUUAGUUCCAGUAGCCUACCAUCCAUUUCACCUUUAUUUUCAACUUUUCACAAAUUUAUUUAUUGUCUUUAGUUUCUUUAACUUUCAAUUCCUAAAAACUUCCAGCUUUUACUACUUUCCAAUUACAACACCUUUUUCAAAUUCCCUUUUUCAACCAACCCCAUUCUCAAUUACAUCACCCAUCUUUUCACCCUUUCUACCUUAAUUAAUUUAUCAAAUACCAACAUGUCCCAAACCUUAGCCAACUAAACCCAUUUUCAGCUUUAGGCCGAAAUUAACCUCGUCAAAACCCGUGAGUUACGAACCCGAGCCAUUUAACUCCUAAAAUUCCAGUACUUAUUACUUCUCCGGAUUAAGAGUAUGAUUUUGUCAGCUCAUAAAGUCAGAUCAACACUAAGUCAAAAAAGACGUUGUUUGAUUUGGUGUGAUUGGACGUACAGUUGGAAUUCCGAAAAGAACGUUUCUAAUCGGUUUUCUGUGAACACAAUGGCGUGCCAAGUGGAGGCUGCUGUUUGGUUCCGUCAAGGGGAGUAGUAACCGGAUUUAAAUGUCCCACGCGUUUGAGGGCAUUGGUUCGAGCUAGGCUCUUCUAGAACGCAAAGCUGCCGGAGUUCUAAAUCACGAACGUUUCUUGAUUGUUCGAUCGGUAAGAGUUAGUUAUUGGACGUUCCAUAACUAAUUUACACGAGGAAGAGUUGGUGUCCGAGGCGUCCUUGGUAGCUAUAACUAGCUUAUUGGAAAAGAAGAGUUUAUCCAAUUUCGAGGAUCGGUUCAAAGACGAGGAAAAUUCGCGCCUAAAGUUGAGCUCAUUCUAAUUAAUUCUUCUUAAUAUUUAUUUCACGGUUUUUAUUAUUCUGUUUUCAACUUUUACUUUUGACAUUAUUUUUCUGUUAAUUUCAGGUUUUCAGAUUUUUAUCCCCCGAACGUCUUGGGCACGACAGCUGCCCCGACAAAAAUCUGGUCAAGAGAGGAACAAUUUGCAGUAAACCAGUCUCUGAGGGAUCGAUCCUACUCCCUAUACUGCAUAAUUUGCGAACUAAGGCGUAGGUUUAUAUUGGUGGAUUCGACACCCAUCAGUUUUUACAAGCUUUCAGAGAAUUUUGUGUUUACGUUUUGAGGGUUCUUAUUUUGAGUUUUGGGGUUUAGUUUUAUCUCUAUAUUUUGUACUCUUUGUUUUUGUUAUUUUAGUGAAAUUAUCUUUACCUGUGGUUUUUAUCCUCUUCGGAGGGGUUUUUCCACGUAAAAUAUUUGUGUUCGAUCUUUCCAAUUUCUUGAUUAUUUUACUUGUUCGUUGCUUAAUCGGAUUUAUCCCCAACAAUAAAUAAAGACCAUUCCAAUUUCUUUAGAUUUAGAUGGAUUUGUUGUUGAUUAAGACAUCCUUAUAUUUACACAUGUUAUUUGUUUGCAUUACAAUUAUAUUUAAAAUAUUGUAUGUUUAUAUAUUUAAAAGCAUUUGAUUUGCUUUCCAAAACCUUCUGCAGAAAUGACUUGUUGAUGAUGGAUUUGCACAAGGCGAAAAAUGUGAGAUAUAUGGUUUAUUCUAUUUAGUAUAGAAUAGAGAACUGUCAAAUAGGAUAAUUGGAGAUGAGGGUGGGGAGGAGUAGGCAAGAGAGAGAGUAGAAGAGUUAGAAAAGGAAAAAAGAUUCGCUUUUGUUUACACGUUUUGGUCUUUAUAUUUCAUUAGCUACUUGUUCCAAGGUGCCACGUGUCCAAUUAUUAUUUAUAAGUUAGAGUCAAGUAGCCAAAUGGCUUGAUGGUAUGGGUCAAAGUAGGGUGAUGCUAUGAUGUCCCCUAUGUCACUUCAGAGGUGAUAGAAGUCUGAUGUGGCAGUUAAUGAGUAAGGUUCACUUGACUAUUAACUCUGAUGGUUUUAGCAAGGGGUUCUAUCGAGGGGCCCAUUCUUACUGUUGGUAAGCCUCCCGCUCAGUCUGGAUGGUUGAGGUGUAACAAUUGCUCCCAAAUUGAGAGGAAUGUUAUACAGUGUCCUUAGAGACCUAAAUUAGCUCUACGCUUUUAUGUUUAGUGAAGUGUGUUUAAGAUUAAGAGCAUUGUAAUUAGUGUGAAGCAUUUAGAAUUUGGAACGGCAAGUCUAUGCACGUAAAAGGCACACUUGGGCAAUAUUUCAAAAAAACUUGCGCGUUUGCAUGCAUUAAUGGAUUAUGCGUUACAACGCAUUAUUGGGAAACUUUUGUCAUUUAUGUUUCAAAAAUACUAGGUGCAACAUUUUUAUUGGCGAUAAGAGGUCAUGUUUGCUGGCUUCUAGAAGCAUCUUUUAGCUAGAGGAGUUAAUAUAACCUUAAACCUUGGUAUUCUGUCAUUAUUCACUAGAGUUUUGAAAAUUUUCAAAGUUUCUUCAUAUUUUACUACUUUUUUUUGUAGUGUACAGUGGUGUCCAUUUUAGUUUUGGUAACUUUGGUCAUUUUGUUUUCAUAUUUUCCAAUUAUAACUUUCACGUUUAAACUUCAUUCUUCAAUCCGUUUUCAAAUACAUUCUUCUAUAACAUCUAGAAAAAAUAUUUACAAAAUUUUCCUAUCUAUAUUGACAUAAUUGCAUUUUAGUCUCUAUGUUCAUAACUAACAAAUUUCACUUUAUAAUUUAGUCUUACUUAACAUCUAAACUUAACAUGCAAUCAUUUAACACCAAGGGCUUCAAAAUUAAUCAAUAGCAACAUUUUAAAAUUUUAACAAUUUUGCAAAAUAGUCCUCAAUCUAAUUAAAUCAAGCUCCCGAGAUUUCAAAAACAUAAAAAUUAUGAGAAACGAGCUUGAAAUCACUUACUAAUUGAAUAUUGAAAGCUUGAAAUCCCUAACCCUUAUUAUUUUUCUUACAUUAGACCAUAGAAGAGAUUUGGAGAAGAUGAUGAGAUUUAUCAUCUUUUUUAUUUAUUAAUUUUAACUUAUAUAGUUAGGUAAAAAUGUAAAUAUUAGGAUCUUUUUAUUUAACCUAUCAUUAACUUAAUUUAAGCCUUAUUUACAUGGAUGAUAACCUCAUCUUCCACUAACCAUAAUCACACAUUGGUCCAAUUUCAUAAUUGGACCCUUAAUAAUUUAAAAAUCUACAGCAGUUAACUUUUAUUGUUUUCACAAUUUAGUCAUUGUACCUUAAUUACUACUCGUUCAAUAAAAUUAUUGAAUCAAAAAUAAAUAUAAUACUAUAAUAAACUCAUAAAUAUUAAAAAUUAGUAUUUACUAACUUAGUUAUCGGAGUACGAGGUUUCGAAACCACUAUUUUCGAUACCACUAAAAAGAAAUUGUUGCAUUUCAUAAGUAGUUUAAAAGCGUGAGCUAAACAUCACAAACAUAUUCACAAGUUAAGAUCAGCUUAAAUUGAUUGAAUUGACUCCACUGAAAAUUGCAUUCAGGCUCGAGAAUUGGAGUUAUCAAGUCUAUCUUCAUUAUUUUUCAUAUUUCUUCUAGUUUCACAAUGUUGUUUCCUUUGAUAACCCUCUCAAUAGGUAAAGAUCAACCUAUUAUAAUAGCACGCCAAGCCUUUUUUAUGAAUAGCCUUGGUCAAGGCUCUAGGACGAUCUUUCCAAUGAGCACAAUUUGAUUUAUCAAGCAAUGGAGAUUGAGAGAUUAUUUGUCCUUCCUUUAAAGUUCCCAUAACAAAUAACUAAACAAUCAAAAUCACACCAAAAAAAUAUUUGAUGAAUUGCUCUAAUACUAGUUAAUAAGUCUAGUUAUGUGUGUUAUCUAAAGUAUCGUAAUGUUGGCUAAAACAAUAUAGAUUGAAAGAAUUUAAAAGAGCAAACACAAGGCAAUUGUUUACGCCUUUCGACAAUUAACACCUACAUAUGCGAAGCCAUGCCUAGAGAAUAGAUUCACUAGUCAAAUCAAAAGUACAACCCUUAAUAUGAACUUAGACAAUCUAAGGUGCCUUACGAUUUCUAUGGUCUUAACUAGAGGUGGCAAUCGAGCAAAUUAGGGUUGGGUUAUUUCGGGUGCCGACUUUUUUGAGUUCGGGUUCAGUUUUUUUUUGUGUUCAAGCUUUUCUAGGUUCAGGUUUUUCGAGUUUAGGCCUUCAAAUUUAGGUAGUCGAGUUAUUUUGAGUUUGAUCUCGGGUUUGAUUCGGGUUCGAGUUUGGUUUACAUUCAAUGUAAGUAUAUAUAUCUACAUAAUUUAAAUGUUUACAUCUCAAUAUAAAUUAUUAAUUUAUUAUAUAUUUUAAGUAAUCUUUUAUUGUGAUACAUGGUUUUUAAUUACAUUUUAAUUAACAUUAAAAUUAAAACUUGUUAUUGUUACUUGUUAGUAUAAAAAUUAUAUAAAAUCAUUUGUGCUAAGUAAUUGACAUAAUACAAGUUAAUUAUAUUGAAUUUUACAAUAAUUGAUUAAAUGAACUUGAUUAUGAAAUAAUACAUUAUAAUUUAUACUAUUAUUCAUUAUGAAAUAGUUUUUUUAACAAAUGAUACUACUUUCUUAUCUAUAUUUGCAUAAUGAAAAAAUUUUAUGCUUACAACAAAAUAUAACUUGACAUUCUAUUUUUAUUAUCAAAGACAUUAUAAUUUGUAUUCAUAUAAAAUUUGAGAAAAUACAAUACUAAAUAAUAAAAUAUAAUAUUUAUUUAAAAAUAUAUCUUACUUUAAAUUCUAAAAUACAUUAUACAUUCAUGUAUUAAUAUUUGGUGACAUAAAUUAUAUGUUUUAAGUAUAAAAAAUUUAAAUUCAAAUUUUAUUAAUUAUACAAAAUUAUUUGUUCCAACUCACAAAAGUUUAAACACUAAUGUAGCUUUUGAUUUUUAUAAUUUCUCUAACUAUUUUAUCAAUAGUUGAAAUAAAAUAUGUUACUUGAUAAUAUAUAAAUAUUUCUUACAUCUAAAUUAGGAAUUAAAUUAUCCCAUACAAUUUUUUAUUCCAAAAAUUAAAAGUUAAAUACAAUUACAAAUAAUUAAUAGUGGUAAAUUGUAAUCUCAUUUUCUCAAAAAUUACUAUUUCAUUAUAUAUAAAAUAAUUAAUUUAUUUAUUAAGAAAAAUAUUUGAAUAAAACUAAUAAUUAAAGCUUUUAUAAAAGUAUUUAAUUAUAGUUUGAUUAUUUUAUUUUUAUUACUAAAUUUGGGUUUGAUUUUUUUAGGUUUGGAAUUUUUCAAGUUUAGGUCUUUUUUGAGUUUGGAUUUUUUGAAAUUUGAAUUUUUGACUUUUUGGUCAAAUUGGGUGUAAAAUGAGUUCGAUCCCGAGUUUUUUCAGGUCGGGUUCUCAUGCUCGGGCCCAUUUUGCUACCUUUAAUUUUAGGGAUGUUUGGGUUAAUUGUUUGGAUUUUUUCAAAGUUUGGGUUUUUUUUAGUUUAGAUUUUUUAAAGUUUGAGGUUUUAACUUUUUGAUCAAAUCAGUUUAAAACGAGUUCGGUCUCAAGUUUUUUGGGUUGGGUUCUCAAGCUCAGACCCAUUUUGCCACCUCUAAUCUCAACAUGUACAUCUUCUCAUAGAUCCUAAUAAUAUUCUCUCACCCACAAAGGAGGAUGAACAUCCUUUAUAAAUCAUCAACUAGUCAUUUUUGUCAAGCAUAUCCUUCCAAACACAAGGUCGUGUUAGUAAAGAUGCAUCACUAAAAUUUAGGGAUGACAAUUUAGAUUACGGAUUCAAAUACUAUUCGCAUUUGUUAUUCGGAUAAUAGAUUCAAAUAUUCAAGAAUAUCCGACUUCGUGUAACUGGUUACAAAAUAUUUGAAAUGUUACUUCCUACAUGCUUUGAACACAUAAUCAUUAACAAUUAAAACUAUAUUUAAAUCAUCAAUACUAGUCUUCAGCUUUAGUUAAAAUUUACACAAACUAAUAAAUAACAUAUAAAUAUCAAUAAAAAUAUUUUCUAAAAUUAAAUAUUUUAAUUAAUGAUAAAAUUAAAUAUAAUAAUUACUAAUAAAUGUAAUAAAUUUAAAUAUGCUUAAAAAAUCAUUAGAAAAAUAUAUCUUAUUUAACAUUUUAUUCUCUUAAACCUCAUGUAGCUUCUCUUAAAUAUUAUUCUUUUGUAUUCGUAAAUCUAACUGAACAAUGAGAUGAAAUCAUCAGAAUUUCUAGAUUUUUUAUUACCCCUUUCAUUGUUUGAUCAACUCAAUUAGUUAAAUUAUUUUAAACAAAAAUUAACUAAUAUUUAUAUAAUUAAAAUAAAUAUAAAUUUAUUUUAUAAUGUAACAUAAUUAUCUUUAAUGCAUAUUAUAUUAUAUUAUAAAAACAAUAUACAUACACUUUUAGGAACAUAAUAUAUCAAUCGUGAAUGUAUAAUAAUUAUUUUAACAUUAUGAUAUUACAAUGUGCAUUCUUCUAUUAAUGAUGUGCAACCUAAACAUUAAACAUGUAUCUAAUUUUAUGGUAUACUAUAAUACAUACAAUUAGUAUUAUAUAAUUAAGGUAUAUUAGUUAUGGAUAUUAUAAUAACAUAAUUGUACAUAAGGUUACACAUCAAAUUUCAUUUGACAUGUUGGCUGGAAAUAGCAUCGUCAUAUGUCAAAUUCCUCCAGAAUGGCCAAAGAGCUUUCUUGAGGAUCUCUUUCACUAAUAAAGAAGGUAUGAAAAGAUAAACAAAUGAGGAAGAGUGAUUUAUUUUAAAUUAGGAUUGGUCAAUAAAAAAAAAUUUAUGUGAGAGUGAAUCUAGUUGAUGAACAGAGGAGCUUAUAUACAAUUAGUUACAUAUUUACAGGUUUAGGUUUCGUUAAUAGAAAGAUGCACAUUAUAAUAUCCUAAUGUUAUAAUAAUUAUUUUACAUUCAUAAUUUAAUUAUGUAACAAUUAAUAUAUUAUAUUUCCUUAAACUCCAACGUUAAAGGCUAGCUUUGAUGGUUAAAACAUAACUUUAAUCAUCAAAUGUCAUGUGUCGUAAAUUCGAUUUCGAAUUUAAAUUUAAAUAUUAAAAAUUAAAUAAUUUACGACUAAAUUAUAAAUUCAGAUUCAAAUAAUUCAAAAUUUGUAAAUAUCUAACUAAAAUCUCAGCAAUGCUCCCUCUAAUAACACCAAUCGUUAUCCCAUAUGAAAAAAUAUUAUCUUCCACGCACUUAGUAGCACUACAUAUACUUGAGGUUAAGAAAAGCUUAAGAUAAUUCUUAUAUGUCUUACAAAUAAACUCCUAAAAAACAUCAAUUAAAAAAUUAUUUACAAAAAUAGUCACACUCGCAAUGCUGUUUGUGUGUCACUUACAGUAUUGUAACACGUUUCACUUAAUUAUUUAAUUAAUAAUACUUUAUUUAAAUUUAAAUUAGAAAAUUAUUUAGUGUAAUUUUUAAACUCCACAAGCAGAAUUAGGAAUGAAUAAGUACGUUAUAAAAAUAUUAUAAAAUAUUAAAAAUAAAUAUUUAAAUAUUUAGUGUAAUUCAAAGCUACUUAUAAAAUAAAAAAAUGCAUUAUAAAUUUACCAAAUACUAAUCCAUUUAAAUUUAUAAUAAAUUAAUAUAUAAAAUAUAUUAUAUUUUAAUACAUUUCAAAUUAUGAUACAUCAUGAAAAUAAUAUCAACAUAAUAUUAUACAAAUGCAUCAAUAUUUACUUAACACAAUUUAUUAACGUUUAAAAAUUUAUAUAAAUAUAAUACAUUAAAUAUGAUGUAAUAUAAAUAUACAAAUUUUAAGCAUGUGUUAGGAAUGUAACUGAUAAUGAUAAUGCAUUAAUUAACAUCAUGUCAGAUUUAUCAUACACUUUAUUAUAAAUAUUUUGAUAUUUUUUUGAAAUUACCUUUAUUAAGUAAAAUACAAAUUAUUAGUUUGAAUAUUUUCCAAUAGUAUUUGUAAUUAACAAAAACAAAUCCAUAUUUUAAAUAAUAUUAAUUUAUUUUGUACAAAACUAUUUUUUUUUGGUACUUUUAAAAUUUGUGAUUAUUCUUCCCAAUAAUAUUAUUUUUAAUGCUUGAAUUUCAUUCUGUUUUUGAAAGGCCACUGCACCAACACUUUAUGAUUAUAAAAUAAAUUAUUAAAGUUUCUUGAAAUUGGAUUGUAAAUUAAAAUUUAAUUUGAUAACAUUUAAGAUAAAAUAUUUUUAAUUUAGUAGUUUGAAAUUUAUUGUAUAAGAAUUAUCUUUCCAACCAUGUAUGAAAAUUACGUUUUCAUCUAAAUUAAAAAAAAAACACAAACAUUUCAUUGUUUCAAAGCACCAAGAAAUUUAAUGAUUUUUUUUUGCAUAUCACCUAUGGACCUAUGAUAUUGACGAAUUAAAUUUCAUGAAAGUGAACAUUUUUAUAAUAAUAAAAUCCUCUAUAAGGUAGAGAGGAAAGUGGAAAUAUAUUGAGAGGGAUGGGGGGGGGGUUGAGUUUUGAACAAAUCCCAACAAGUAGAGAUAAAUGUAGUAUAUAGUUUUGGAAGAUAGCUAAGCUUACUUGUCUCUUUGUCUUAAUAUAUAUGUAAUAGAAAGGAGAUUAGAUAAUACAAAUUGUAUGGUGAUGGGGUUUGAAAAAUCAAAAAUUGGGAAAUCCCAAUUAGGGACAGCUGAGAUGAGCUGAGCUUUCACACAUAAAAACCCCACUAGGAAACAAAACUGAAGAAGAGCCCAUUCUUUGGUUUGUCUUUGUUAGGGCAUGUUUGGCUUCUUCUUUGGUUUGGGAAUCUGUUAAAAAGGCAGAGUCUUUGAGAGAGAUGCCAAACCCUUCCCUGAUUCCCUAUCCACCUAAUGCAACGACAACACUAAGCAUUUAAAAAUAGAGUUUGGGUUAAGUUUUUUGAUUUAAUUGAAGAGGAAACUUGAGGGAAAGUAAAGACAAAGGUUGAGAAAAAGAUAAAGGCUUUACUCAGAAAAUUCCAUAUUCCACUGAAAGAGGGGACGACAACAAAUCAUUAAAGGACAAAGCUUUCCUUCACGCAUUGUCGACAACCUUGCCAUGAGAUGAGCAACGCCCCCAUCGCUUAGCUAAUACCAUUCUCCUUUCUUUCCUCCCCCCCCCCCCCCCCCUCUUCCCCUCUGCCUUCCAGAAGUAUUCAGAGUCUGCCUUUGAACCCUCUUUUGACUCCAUUUAAAACCCAGAAAAGAAAAGCUCUUUCUUCACACUUCGCUUGAAUUACAGAUUCCAAUCUUGGAAAUUUUUAUGUGCUUUCUUUUGGGUUUUUGAUCAGUUGCAAAACCCAGUAAGGAUUCCGCCCAACCCUUCUUCUUCUGUAAUAUAUACAUACAUAUAUAUAUUCAUUUGGUGUUACUUUCAUGUACUUGUCUUUGGGAAGAACUCAUCUUUCAUUGUUUUUUUUCCAAAAGACUAUUUGGGGUUGUCUUGCUUCUUAAUUUUUUUUGUUAGAUCCUAAAGGAUAUUUGGUCUGACGCAUUUAUCAGACUUCUAAAUUUUCAGGUAACCUAUAGAUUACUCCAAAUCUGGGUUUGUUUUGGUUAAAUUUGUGAAGUUUAACCAUCUUUUGGUAAUUCUAGUUCAUGCUAAAUUUCGAUCUUGCAUGAAACUUUGUUACUUUACUCUUUAGUAAAAAGAGACCAAAAGGUUGUGCCAAUGUUCCAAGACGAAUCAUCGUCUGUAACAUCAUCAUCAUCACCUCUCCAAGUUUUCUCCAUGAUGUCACUCUCACCUAACUUAGGAUCACCCUAUCCUUGGCUUAGAGAGUUAAAAUCAGAAGAAAGGGGGUUGUAUUUGAUCCAUUUACUGCUCACUUGUGCUAAUCAUGUAGCAAAUGGUAGCCUUGAAAAUGCUAAUAUUGCACUUGAGCAAAUAUCCCAACUCGCAUCCCCCGAUGGUGAUACUAUGCAGAGAAUGGCUGCAUAUUUUACUGAGGCCCUUGCUGAUAGAAUCCUCAAAGCCUGGCCUGGUCUUCAUAAGGCCCUCAAUUCCACCAGGAUUACUUUGCUUUCUGAAGAAAUCCUUGUUCGGAAACUGUUUUUCGAGUUGUUCCCCUUCUUGAAGGUGGCCUUUGUUCUUACAAACCAAGCCAUAAUCGAAGCCAUGGAAGGAGAAAAGAUGGUUCAUAUAAUAGAUCUCAAUGCAGCUGAACCUGCGCAGUGGGUUGCACUUAUUCAAGCUUUGAGUGCAAGGCCUGAAGGGCCGCCUCAUUUGAGGAUUACUGGCAUUCAUCAACAGAAAGAACUGUUGGAUCAAAUGGCUCAUAGAUUGAUUGAAGAAGCUGAAAAAUUGGACAUCCCCUUUCAGUUCAAUCCGGUUGUUUGCAAAUUAGAGAAUCUCGAUGUUGAUAAAUUGCGUGUUAAAACUGGGGAGGCAUUGGCAAUCAGUUCUGUUCUCCAACUGCAUUCAUUUUUGACUUCUGAUGAUGAACUUCUUCGGAAGAAAUCGCCAUGGGAUCGAAGAAUUUGAAUGGAAUUCACUUGCAAAGAGCCCUGCAGAUGAACCGAGCACUUUAGGAGAGUUGCUUGAAAAAGAUAUGGUUAAUGGAUACAGCCCUAGCCCGGAUUCGGCCUCAUCAUCACCGCUAUCUUCAACUGGAUCAGNNNNN